rnacentral:lncRNA from 1 species
UCCGGAUUAGUUUUUCUUUUAGGAUUGGACUGAAAUUAAUGUUAGGACUUAAUUUUAAUAUUGCAGAUGGGAAAUCCUCUUAUGGAUUUCGAUACUAAUUACAACUCAGUCCCACAUUUCUACUGGUCCCAUGGCUUGAUAUCAGAUUCUACUUACAAUCUUUUCUCUUCCAAGUGCAAUUAUUCUCGAAUGAACAGAGAGCAGACAUCUGGUUCUUUAUCACCUGCUUGUUUAGCUGUACGAAGCCAAUAUUCACAAGAAGUUGGUGACUCUGUUGACCGGUUUGAUGUCACUCUUAACUCCUGCUUACCAUCUGUUGAUCCACAACCGGUGAGGUUAACAUUAUCUCAAUAGUGCUCCACCAUUAAAAUACACUGCAAUUAAUUUCAUCACCAUGAUAAUUUACUUUUUUUAGUAGGAAUUUGCACAAUUUUGCUUUAGUUUGUACAUGACUUUGCUUUCGGCCUAUGCAGCAAGUCACAGAGAAUGUGGAUGUUUGUAUAGGAGACGAAGUAAACAAGUAUUUCAAUAGGGAAGAUGUGCAGAAGUCUCUCCAUGCUAGACUAGUUGGAGUCGCCAACUGGAGUAUGUGCAGCGGGUAAAAUUCAAUCUACAAUGGACCUCUACUACAUAACCAACUUUUUUUCUAGCAUCCAUAUUUGCUUUUUCUUUUUCUCUUACCUUUUGCUUUUUAAAAUUGCGAUUUCAUGGAUAUAAAUUGUUUUUUUUUUAAUCUCCAUGUUACAGUGCUCUUAGAUACAAUAUAAAAGACAAAGAGAUAACCAUGAUUCCUGUCAUGGGCUCCCUUGUCAAGUCUGGUAUCCGGACCUUUGUUUACAGGUAAUGUUACAUGAUACAUAUGGGCGCUAUUUUUUUUCAUUAUGAUUCAAAAUAGUGAUAGUAAUACUUAAAAACCUCUACAGUGGAGAUCAAGAUUCAGUAAUCCCACUAUUUGGAACUCGGACUCUGGUGGAUGGAUUGGCGAAGAAGUUGAGACUGAAUACAACUGUGCCUUACAGAAAUUGGUUUGAGGGAGAACAGGUCGGCUUCUAUACAUGAAUAUGAGAUUAACUUCAUAAAUCACUUCAAGUUUCAACUGCUUAAUUAAAGAUCGGAUGAUUUAAAUCUCAUUCAUGAUGGUUUUUCUUCUGUUUUUCUAGGUUGGUGGAUGGACGCAAGUUUAUGGUGACAUCCUAUCCUUUGCCACCGUGAGAGGAGGGUCACAUACAGUGCCGGGUACACAACCAGCCAGAGCACUAGUUCUGUUCACUGCAUUUCUAAAAGGACAACCCCCACCAGCUGAAUGAACGGAUCAAAUUCACGGAUAAGAACUAUAGGUCAUUAUGUAUUACUAGAUAACAGAGGAUGUCUCUUCAUAUUGUGUUCAGAUAUUAAUGCAUUUCCUUUUAGAUUAGAUCAAUGCUCUUCACAUCCUCAUUUUCCAUGCAUUUAGCAGCAUCUCAGGUAUCAGAACGGCAAAUUUGCAUUUAAAAUCCUGUGAUUAUUGUAGAGGACUUCAGUUGGAACACUCAGAUUAGAAUUAGAAGCAGAAUUUUUUCGUGAAGAGAAGGAUAAACUGCUAACUAUAAGCCUAAAACCAAACCAAAAAGCUUAUCAGCCCAUAACUAGCACUAUAUGGGGGAUCAAUAUUCCAAGCCUAAAAUUAAUGGCCCAUACACAACACCUAAUAUCCUAACCAAACAGCAGCCUUUUCUUUCCUAGCCCUAAAACCCUUGUUCUUCAAUCUCACGACCACUCUCUUGUUUUCACACCCUUGGAUCUCAACUUCGGGAGGAGACGAUGCAACAUGAAGCAAACCACGAUUUUAUGGCUUUAAGAAUAUGGUGGAAGAAAGCUCUGAUUGGCAGAGAAUAGCAGCACCGACUUGCACUCUUCAAGAGAUUUAGAAAUAGGUUGAAAUUUGAUACACUUCUUAAGAUGUAUUAUGUAAUUUUUUGAGAAAAAAAAAAAAUCUUUUGUUGACUUUUUCGAAGAAAAAUUCAAAGCAUAUUAUAUAAUAAAAUGAAUAUUAUACUAAAGAACGAUAGAUUAAUUUGAUUGUUUAAGUUUCUCGAAUUAAUCAACAUUGGUGGUAUCUAUAAGAGAUCGAAGACACCAUCAUCCUAGCUACAUCACACGCCAAAGGUCUCCAUUCAGCUGUCUCUCUCUCUCCAGAGUCCAGAGACGUCUGUCUCAUCAAAGCCCUGAAAUCCCAGUCAUAGAUGGAAUGUUAUACUUAUUAUAAUAAUAGCCACAACAUGUACAACUCCGUUAUGCUCAACAAUGGAGACACUCUGCAAGCCCACGUCAGUUUUCAACAAUUUUCUGGAUAUGUAACCAUAGAUGGAAAGCAACACAGUGCUCUUUUCUAGUAAUUUGUUGAAGCAGAAAAUGACGUGGAGGCGGUUUCACCUUUUCUUCUUGUUAGUUGUUACGGGGAGGAAUAUUUUUUCUAUAUGAAUCUCUAUCAGUUUGUAUUAAAAAAUAGUGUGUUAAAAAGUUGUGUGACUUUGUUUUACGGCCAGCUUAUGAUUCAAAUAUGCAGAAAGCCACAGAGGAUGUAGAUGAUUGCUGCUUGCAUAUACAACAAAACAACGAAGUGGCCAAGUGUUUUUAAGCAGGAAAGACGUGCUUAAAGCUUUCUGCAUUAACUAAAAAUAUAAUUUACUUUGAAUCUGUGACUAAAAAUGUUGUUUCAUAGUGAUUUUAUAAAAUAUUUUUUAUAUUUUUUAUAUUUGAAAAUUUUUGUUAUUUAAAUAUUAAAAAUGUUAAAAAUAUUUUUUAAAAUCAGUGUGCAAGUGUAACUCUAAUAAUUAUCACAAUUCAUGGGGAGAAUGGAGAUCAAGAUUCAAUUUUGUCCCACCAUUUGGGAGUCGGACUCAGGUGAGCGAAUUGGCCAAGGAAGCUUCAGGUGCGCGUCGAGCCUCGCUCCAGUGCGCGUCGCGGCGCGCUUCAGGUGAGCGUCGGGGCGCGCUUCAGGUGAGCGUCGGGGCGCGCUUCAGGGUCGUGUUGAGGAGCGCUCAGGUGAGCGAAUUGGCCAAGGAAGCUUCAGGUGCGCGUCGAGCCUCGCUCCAGUGCGCGUCGUGGCGCGCUUCAGGUGCGCGUCGGGGCGCGCUUCAGGUCGCUUCGGGGUAAGCUUCAGGGUCUUGUCAAGGCGCGCUCAGGUGAGCGAAUUGGCAAGGAACGCUUCAGGAGCGCGUCGCUGUAAGCUUCAGGGUCGUGUCGAGGCGCGCUCAGGUGAGCGAAUUGGCCAAGAAACGCUUCAGGUGUGCGUCGAGCCUCGCUCCAGUGCGCGUCGCGGCGCGCUUCAGGUGACCGUCGGGGCGCGCUUCAGGUCGCUUCGGGGCGCGCUUCAGGGUCGUGUUGAGGGGCGCUCAGGUGAGCGAAUUGGCCAAGGAAGCUUCAGGUGCGCGUCGAGCCAUGCUCCAGUGCGCGUCGAGCCACGCUCCAGUGCGCGUCGAGGCGCGCUUCAGGUGCGCGUCGGGGCGGCUUCAGGUCGCUUCGGGGUAAGCUUCAGGGUCGUGUCGAGGCGCGCUCAGGUGAGCGAAUUGGCCUAGGAACGCUUCAGGUACGCGUCGAGCCUCGCUCCAGUGCGCGUCGCGGCGCGCUUCAGGGUCGUGUUGAGGAGCGCUCAGGUGAGCGAAUUGGCCAAGGAAGCUUCAGGUGCGCGUCGCGGCGCGCUUCAGGUGCGCGUCGGGGCGCGCUUCAGGUCGCUUCGGGGUAAGCUUCAGGGUCGUGUCGAGGCGCGCUCAGGUGAGCGAAUUGGCUUCAGGUGCGCGUCGAGCCUCGCUCCAGUGCGCGUCGAGGCGCGCUUCAGGUGCGCGUCGAGGCGCGCUUCAGGUGCGCGUCGGGGCGCGCUUCGGGGUCGUGUCAAGGCGCGCUUCGGGGUCGUGUCAAGGCGCGCUUCAGAGCGAGGCGGCUACCCCGAAAGGGAUACGCGUCAGGGUUCGAGAAUGGAUGAGGCACGCUUCCGGUGCCCGCUUUUCAGACCUGGAGGGUGGACGCGUCAGUCUGAAUGUGGUUGAACAAAAAAUGAAAUGGAUGCAAAGCAAAUUUUACAUUUGUUUUUUUAUAAGAACUAUACAUUUUAUGUAAAGGUUUUAUAUUUUAUGUAAAAUAUAGAAAGUAUAUCCACUUGUCACCUUAGUUUUUCUUGAUUAUAUUAGGUAAUAAAAAAUUUAUGCAAUUAAAUUAUUGAUUUUUUUAACUAGCAAAAAUGUUAUAUGAUUGAAUUAUUAUUAAUCGUUUUAAAAUAGUAAAAAAAUGAAAGUGCGAAACCAUUACUCUUUUUUGUUUAUUAUUAUUAUUUUUUAUUUUUUAUAUGUUUUAAUAUUUACUAAUUAUGAAAAUUAAAAUUUUAAAAGCUUAGGCCCAAUGUCAAAUUGGGAAGCUAAAAUAUUUACUCUAGACUUUUAACUUCAAAAAUUUUGUAAGGGAGAAAAGGUCAUCAUCCCUAUCUAAAUUAAUAUUCUAAUUAAAAUGUUUUUAUUAUGUGAUACUUUUGUAUUUCUAAUAAAAAUGCAUUUAAGAAAAAUUAACUAAAUUAUGUUUAGUUUCCAAAAUAUUGGAAGAGAAAUGUGAAGGAAAUUAAAAAAUAUAUUUAAAGUUAAUAAAUAGUUUUAAGACAUUACUUGAAAGUCAUUUCAUACAUUUUAAUUUUAUUGUAUAAAGAUUGAAUAAUUUGAAAAUGCAUAAAUUAUAUUAUGUUUGGUUCUUCAAAAAUUUAAGGAAAAAAAAGAAUAUAUAUAUAUAGUUUAUAAUUAAUAAAUUAUUUUUAUAUAUUAUUUUAAAUUUAUUUCACUUUUUUUUUUCUUGAUUAAAUAAUUAAAAUAUUUAAAAAUUUAUAAUUUGUUUUAAUUAUAUUUGAUUCUCCUUUUAUAUAUAUAUAUACACAGAGAACCGUUUUUUUGUUGUUGAGCACAUGCGCAUAUGUUUAGAGCAAACUCCAACCAUGCACUUGAACAAACAAUUGGACUAAGCUUGGGGAUGAAGAAAAUGGAGAUGUGGAUAGGAGCAUAGUGUGGCCCCGUUGGUUAAUAAGUGAUUGGGGGCAAGGGAACAAACACUUUGAUGGCACAUGGAGGAGUACUUACAAGGAAGAAUGAUACCGUACUUGAAUUUUAUGGAUGUAUCGGUCAAAUAUAGAUGAAUAUUCUAAUAGUGAGACGAAAAUGGUUUAAAAUUCAUUAAAAUACUUUAAAAAUUUUCAAAAAAUAAUAAAAUAAAUAAAAAUAUAUAUGUUAAAAUUAUUUUGUAAGUGCAAAUAACGUAAUUAUGAUGAAGGAUAAUAUUUAUAAAAAAAUUUAGAAAAAUUUAUCUUGAAUUCCUUUCAUAUAUUUAUAUUCAUCUAUUUUUAAAAUUUAAAACUAUUUUUUAUUAAAAACAUGUUUUAUUACAUUUUAAAUAAAAAAUAAAAUCCUUUUUAAGAUUUAUAUAAAAUGUUUUAUUUGAGAUUUAUUUUCUAAAAUUUUAUUAUAUGUGGUAACAACUUUUUAUUAUAGAUAUUAAUUUAUUUAAAGAAUUAAAAUUAUUAAAAAUUAUAUUAAUAGUUUAUCCUAUCAAAUUAAUUUAAAUUUAUAAAAUAUUAGACCUUUAUUAUUAUUAUUAUUAUUAUUAUUAUUAUUAUUUACAUUUUAGCAAUUUUUGAAUACAUUUAUGUUUUCAAUAUUUUAAAAUGAAAAUAUUUAAAUUAAAUAAAAUUAAAAGGAUAAACAUCAAAAAUUUAAAGUGAAAUGAUAGUAAAAUUUUAAAAUAUGAUUAAUGAGAUAAAUGAUGAUAGAUUUAAUAUUAAAACUACAAUUCAUUUAAUUCAAAUAAAUGAUCAUGUAUGAUUUUUUUUUAAUAUUUAUAUUUUUUAUAUUUAAUUAUCAUACUUGUUAAGAAAAUUAUAAUGAUGGUUUUUCUACUUUUAGUAAUCAAUUAAAUAAAAUUUAAAAUAAAAUAAUUAGAAUUAAUAUAUUUAUUAAAAUAUUCUUAUAACAAUGAAGUUUAAUAUAUUGAUAUGUAUAUAUAUUAAGGCAAACUUGCCCCAACGGUGGUUAGACAUGAGUUCAAGCCUUUUUGACCCAACGAUAGUUAAUUAAUUGAAAUAUCGUGAAAAUUUAUGAAAAGUCGAUAUUUCGGUGAUAAUUCCAAAAUAUAUGCUAAAUUUCUCCUAAUUUUCGGUCCCUAUUGAAUCACUCUGACAAGUGAAGCGAAAUAUCGAUAAAAUUUCACUAAAAAUUUGCGAUAUUUCAAACAUUGGUUUCAAGCACACAUCAAGGCACGAUUCAAGAGACAAACCCAUCAAGGGAGGAAACAUGGAUGGGGCAUGCUUUAAGUGCACUUUUUACAUUUUGAGACGCGUGAGGAGUAAGCUUUAGUGUACUUGAACAAAAAAUUGAAAUGGAAAACCAACCUAUCUAUGAGUGUUUAGGUAGGUUGGCAAUUUCUGAUAAAAUUCCUAAGUGUCCCCUAACUUGGUUUAUAUUUUGUUCCCCUAUUUCUGGAUCGAUCCAAGUGCAGGAGUAAAUCGAUCCAACUAACCUAUUUUUAAGAUCAAUUUUUAGCCAUUGGAUUAAGGGUUUUAUUCUCAUUUAAAAUCAAAAUUUUCCCAUUUUUGGAAGUAAUGAUUGCAACAGCCGUGAGAGGAUUAUUUAUUUCCUCAUCAUUUUAAGGGUGUUUGCCUUCUAAGAAAAUCCCAUCCAAAUUUUCCAAGAAAUUUUUUUUUAAUGGAUUUUUUGAAAAUAAACAUGGGUUGAUUUCUAAAAAUUUAUCUCUCAUUCUCUUAGUUUUAUGCAAAAACUCAUUUUCUUCUUGUGUGAAUUCAAGAAGAGACUGAGAUCAAGCUUGGUGCGGACUCCAAGUGUGUUCCGAAAGAAGAAAGUGAGAAGCUGAAAGUGAAGGUAUUAGUCAAGUAGUCUUUAAAGGAUUGAUUGACUUGAGGUAGGUAAAAUAUUGUAUUCAGUUUUGAUUCUUCAUAGUGAGUGUUUCAAUUUUAUAGUAGGCCCAUGGUUUUUUAUCUUUUUGGAAGUUUUCCACGUUAAAACUUAGUGUCAAUUAUCUCUUUCUCUCACUCUACUGUUUGAUUUAUUUUCAAUUUUUGAUAUCAUUGGAUACUUAAGCAUAUAUGUUGAAUGGUAGAUAUAUGAGCUGAAAUAAGUAUGAUUAUCCAUGGAAUAUCUUCAAUUAUUUUUUUGUUUAUUUUGGUUAAUGGUAUCUUGUAGUAAAUUAAAAUGAGUUAAGGAGAUAAUUGUUUUUUUGAAUAAAUUUUAAAGAGUAUUGAAGCAUUUGCAUGUGAAUUGCAUUUUAUAAAUUGUUGGGAGAGUGUUGGUGUAUACAUGCUUGCUUGUGGUUUUUAUGCUUUGUUGAAAAGUUGUUGGAAGAGAAGUUUAUGGGCAUUGAAAAUUUUUAAGGUUAAGUAAUCCUUGUUGGGAAAAUUUUUUUAGUUCAACAACACUUAUUCACUCUCUCUCUCUCUCUCUCUCUCUCCCCCUCCCCUCCUUUCUAAGUGUAGUCCAUUAUUGAGAUUUACCUUUUCAAUUGACAUAUGAGUAGGUUUUUAAAGCAAAAAUCACUUUCUUGAAUCUCAAUUAUAGAACCUCAUCAAGAGGGAGCUUCCAUUGGGAGACCACCAAUCUUAACCGAUGAAAAUUAUUCUCAUUGGAAAGUGAGAAUGCAAUAUUUUCUCAAAAUGCAAAGUGAAAAAAGUUUGAAAUGCUGUUGAAUUUGGUUAGUCUCCACCUAAGGUAUUGGAUAGAGAAGAUAGACCAACAAAUGUUAUCAAGCCUAAGUCGGAAUGAGAUAGAGGUGAUAAUGAAGCUAGUGAGAACAAUGAUAGAGUCAUCUAUUCCAUCUUUAAUGCCAUUAACACAUAUGAAUUCCAUAGGAUAGCUACAUGUACUUUGGCUAAGGAGGCUUGAGACAUCCUCUAAGUGACUCAUGAAGGAACUAAUGUUGCGAAAGUGUUCAAACUUCAGAUGUUGACCUUUAGGUUUGAGACAAUUAGGAUGGAAGAUCAUGAAAACUUUGGAGAGUUUUAUGCAAAAUUGAUGGACAUUGUGAAUUCUAGCUUUAAUCUAAGUGAGCCCAUUCUUAACUCCAAAGUGGUUUCAAAAAUUCUAAGAUCUCUUUCGGAGAGAUUUAGAGCAAAAGUCACCGUCAUUGAAAAGUCCAAGGAUGUGGAUUCCUUGAAAGUAAAUAAACUUGUAGGUUCACUCCAAACCUUUAAAAUGACUCUUGGAUCACCUAGGAAAUCAAAGAGUAUUGCCUUAAAUACCAUUAAAGAUGAGUCCUUAGGUUCCAAAGGUGAGUGUGAUGAGAAAAUGUCGGAUGGAGAAGUUGCUAGAUUUGCUAGAAAAUUCAAAAAACACAUGAAGUUCAAGAAAUAUAAGAAGUCCAAGGAAAAUGCUAAAAAAUGGAACAAUUCAAUGGGAAAAUCAAAUGUAAAAGACAAAAAGAAAGACAAGAAUGUCAAAAAGGACAUUGAGGUUGAGUGCUUCAAGUGUGGGGAAAAGAUGCACUAUGUCAUCGAAUGUUCCUAAAAAAAAAAAAAGAAAAAAAAAAAAAAAAGAAAGAAAGCCAUGUAAGUCAUUUGGAGUCACACAAAAUCAUGUUAAUCAAGCAAAAAAGAAUCAAAUGCAAGUGAGGAAUGCACUAAUUUCAUAGCCUUUAUGGUAAGUGUCAUUGAGGAAACACUCAAGAAAGAAGUUUUUGGUGAGUCUUGUGAGUCAAGUGACUUUGAUGGUAAUGAGAUGAGUUUUGACUCUGCAUAUGAGACUUUGUACAAGGAGUGCUUAAGUCUAAAACAGAAACAAGUUGAGUGGAAGGCUUCUAGUGAGUCUUGUGAGUCAAGUUAAGUCUCAACUUGAGACCUGUGAGGCAUAAGCUUCAGUGUACUUGAACAAAAAAUCGAAAUGGAAAACCAACCUAUCCCUUCUCAACUUGUCUACGUUCCAUUCUUCUUUGCUUCAAAGUGAUCACAAGUAUUGCUCUCUUUCCUCGGUUCCCAUAUCAUUAUCAUUUUCUUUGCUUAUCUUCAUAUUCUCAUUUCUUGCUCUUUCUAUUCAACGACAAACAUUAUUUUCAUUUUAUUCUCUUCUUGUAUCUUUACUUGUUGUACCCUUUUUUCCGUUUAAAAGUUCGUUUGAAGGAAAAAGACUAGUUUGGGGUUUUUAAAUUGAAAUGAUGAUUCUGUCAUCACUUAAACCUUGUCACAUGUUCAACAUUAUGCAUAUUUUGUUCAUUAUAACUAACAUCAUCACACAAUACAAUAAAUGUAUAUGACAUGUAUUUAUGAAGUAUGAUGGGUACAUUGUUGAAUUUUAAAUGUAAAGGGGUAAUAUGAAAAACACACUAUUGGUUGAAGGUAAAGUGUAAUACACUCUUUUAUUUUAUAUGUUUUAAAUUAUUUUAUAUAUUUAUUAAUUAUUAAUUAUGAAGAUUAAAUUCAAGUCUAGGCCUUGUUUUACAAUGUUUUCUUAAAUUAGUUUUGAAAUUAAAGGAAAAAGAAAUAAUGUUUUUUGGUAAUUUUAAAAAUGUGUUUAAUAAGCGUUUUAAAAAAAUAAUUUGUAAGAGCAAAAAAAACACUUGGAUAAACAAAUUUUAGUUGUUUUUAAAAUUAAUUUUUAUAUUUUGAUUUUAUAAAAAAUUUGGAAAUUCAAUUUUUCAUAAUAUUAAUUAAAUUAAAUUAAAUUCAAGCCUUAUUAAAAUAAAAAAUGGUGUUGUAAUUAAAAAUAAUUGAUUUUAGUAAUAUGAUAAUAAAAACAUAAAUUAUAUAUAUUUUUAUUAAAGAUGAUAAUAUUUUAGUAUAUAAAUAUUAAUAUUUUAUUAUAGUCAUAGUUUAUUCUCUUUUCCAGAACUGAUACUUCCAUUCAUCCUUGAGGAUGUCAGCAUCUUUUGCUUAGCCGCAGGUGAAGUUUGGAUUCUCUCUUUAUUGUUUACAGUUUGAGGGGUGUGACUUUGCUUUACAGCUGUCCAUCUUUUGAUUCACAUAUGGAGAAAGCCACAGAGGAUGCAGAUGCAACAAAACGACGAAGUGGUCAAGUGUGUAAACCGGAAAGACGUGCUUAAAGCUUUCUGCAUUAAGUGGAAAAACCUAAAAAAAUAAUCUUACUUUAUUCUGUUGAUGACUCAUUCUAAUACAUUAUUACCAUUCAUAGUGGAGAAUGGAGAUCAAAUUUCGAUUUUGUCCCACUAUUUGGGCGUCGGCGAAGGAAUUGGCAGGCGCGCUUCAGUGUGCAUCGGGGCGCGCUUCCGUGUGCAUCGGGGCGCGCUUCCGUACGCGUCGAGGCGCGCUUCGGUACGCGUCGAGGCGCGCUUCAGGUACGCGUCGAGGCGCGCUUCAGGUACGCGUCGAGGCGCGCUUCAGGUACGCGUCGAGGCGCGCUGCAGGUACGCGUCGAGCCCAAAAGGCAUACGAGUCAGAGUUCAAGACAUGGAAGAGGCGCGCCUCCGGUGCGCUUUUCAGACCUGGAGGGUGGACGCGUAAGUUUUGAUGUAGUUGAACAAAAGAUGAAAUGGAUGCAAGUUUCAGAAAAGAAUCCAAACCCUUUCCAAGUCCCAACUCUUUCUCUCGUGGACGCCCCUCGCUCUUCUCUGUUUUCCCGUGGUUGCAGUGCAGGUUCUGCUCUCUCCUUUCUCUCCUCAUUUCGUUUUCAUUCUCUCUCUCUCUCUCUCUUCCUCUAUUUAUUUUUUUCCCUUUUAUGAAUUACAACAUAAAUGUCACUUAUUUUUAAUCCCGCAUUAUUGUGAUUUAUUGGCAAAAUAAAAGGAAAAAUUACUUAGUUAUGUAUGAUUUCCAUAUUUUACAAAUUUUUUUUUGUUUGCAAUUCAUGUGUUCAAAUUACAAAAAAAAAAAAAAAUGUAAUUAAAUUAUUGUUCUUUUUAUAUAUAACUAAAAAUAAUGCAAUUCCAUCAUUAUCCUUUUUCUCAAGUAAUAAAAAAGUAUACAAUUUAAAUAUUAAUUUAAGUGAAAAAAUACAUUAUUUAGGUGAAUUUUUUUAUAAAUUUAUUUUUAAAAAUAUAUAUAUAUAUAAAAUGUAAGAGCACAUACCUUGUUUAUUUGAAAAUUUUCAAGUUCAAUUUUUUAAAAUUUUAAGAUUUUAAAAAGAGUUUUUAAGAUACAAAGUAAAUUUUGUAUUUUUUAUAAGAGCUCUUAUAUUUUGUUCAGAGGUUUUUAAUUUUAAAAAUAAAAUAGAAAGUAUAUUUAAAUGUCACCUUAGUUAUUCUUAAUUAUUUUGAUUUAUUAUGAAGUUUAUUAUUUUUUAUUUGUUAUUUUGUAUAUGUUAUAAAUUAUUUUUUAUAUUUACUAGUUAUGAAAAUUAAAUUAUCAAAAGCUUCGGAAUGUCAUCCUAGGACACUAAAAUGCCUAUUCUAGGCUUUUAACUUCAAAAAAAAUGUAAGGUAGAAAGGGUUGACAUCCUAUCGAAAUAUGAAACAUGUUUAGGAAUGAUUCUAAUUAAAACCCUUUUAGUCCAUGACAUUUUUUGUUAAUAGUGUUUUCAUUAAAAAGGCAUUUAAGGAAAAUUACUUAGUGUUUGUGUUAGUGUUCAAACUCUUGAAGUUGGGUUUGCUACUAAUCUUGACUUAACAAUCCAAAGUAGUAAUUGAUUAACUUAUGCAUACAAUCUCUUUAUAAAUUAAUACCUGUAAUCUAACAAGGUGAAAGAUAGCAACUUCUCAAGAUUACCUUUAUCAUCCUUGAGUUCCAAAUCAUCCUAUAAUAUAAUUAAUUAACAUAUCCUAACUCACAAAGAGCUUAUAUCAAAUUUCACUAAAGAAACCAUUAUGGUCAUAAUUUACUUAAACACAUCUCCUUAGGAUUGCCCAAGGGGACAUAAUGUCUUAAUUUCAUGAUAUAUCAUAAUGCUCAUAUUGAAAAUACAUAUUGCUAUCAAAUUUCAUCAACAGUGAUCCAAUUUAUAGGGAAUAUAUAAUUACUUUAGGAUUUCACUCGUACGUCAAAGUCAUUGCUAACUUUGUUACAAACUCAAUAUUUUCUCAAGGUUCAUAAUAGUUUAAUAAAGUCAUAACUAAUCAAUAGUCUUACGUCAUGAUUCAACAUAAGUUUUAUCUAAUGUGUAACCGAACACACUAUUGUAUUUACCAUAGGAACCUCAUCCUAGUGGGUAAGACCGGUUAUUUUUUUAAUUAGGAGGUAAUGCAUUACAACCUAUAAUGAAUUGUCUAAGUCCAUGAAUUGACCUCUAAAUAAAUCAUCUAUUUGUAAAGAACUAAUGACUUGAAUCUUCCCGUACAACUUUUAAUAUAUCAAAGUCAUGCAAAAUACAAGAAAUAUAAGUCAAAAUACUCAUAAGAUAAAAUGUAUGAAAUAAGAAUAGAUUAAAAUGCAACGGAAACUUUAUUAAAUAAAUUAUAAACUUUAAAUUUGUUGUAUCAUNNNNNNNNNNNNNNNNNNNNNNNNNNNNNNNNNNNNNNNNNNNNNNNNNNNNNNNNNNNNNNNNNNNNNNNNNNNNNNNNNNNNNNNNNNNNNNNNNNNNAAAACAGUAUCAUAAUUUUUUUUCUUGUCUAUGUUGAUCAUGACUUUAUCAAUACUAGUAACCACUUAAGCUUUACUUCUCAUUUCAUUGCAAGCCUCUCAUUAUAGUUCUUCGUGAAGGAUCUUAGAGAUCUACAUGACUUCCUUGAUGUUAAGGUUGUCCCUACUACCAAAUGUAAUGUUUCUACCUCUACAUAAAUACAUUUGGAACCUCCUACAACCUCACCAUAUAUCAUAAGCCAAUGUAGUGAACAUUCCAUUAUCAACCUUAACACCUUUGGUUCACUAUGAUGGUACUCUUUCCUAUAACCCACGCAAUAUUGACAAGUGGUUAGAACCGAACCCUCUAAUCUUCAGCCGUGCCAAUGGCAUCUUCUUUGUUGUAAACAAGUUAUCUUAAGUCAUGCAUUAACCAACUCAUACGCAUUGUUCAAUUGCCACCUACCUACCUAUGUACCAAUCCAAUUUUUCACUCUCGUGUAUAAAACACGUUGCUAUUGAUUUUCAUUUUGUUCACGAUAAGGUUUUUGUCGGCCAACAUUGUGCGUCUCAUGUUUCCACUCAAGACCAACUUGUUGACGCUCUCACCAAAUCAUUAUUCCAUCAAUGACUUCUUUUAUUCCUUUCCAAGAUGGGUGUUUCCAAUGGAAUCAUUAUCUUGAGGUGAAAUAUUGGGAACGAAUCAACAACUUCUCCCAACCUCGUGGAUUCCAGCUCAUGAUCCACUCAUUCACAUGAAAUGAAGUCUCUUAAUUUCAACUGCUCCCAAUUAUUCGCAAUUAAGCAUAUUGCAAUAUUCUCAUUUGUAACAAUUCCUUUCAUUUGAAUUCUGAUUCUUUGUGUAUAUAUAUUAUUGUAAAACAUACAACAAUUUAUUCAAUUCAUUCCUUUUUCUGCAAACUUGCUUGACCCUAUUAAUGCCAUCUUACAUCCACUGUCAUUCCAUUCAUGAAAGCAGACCAUAAAAAACACUCGCUCAUAAAACAUCACUCCAAUAAAAAAAAGAAGGAAAAAUCAGUUUUUUUGCCAAAUUUACAACAAGAAUAUUUGUUUAUUUGGCAAGCAGAGGGACUGGAGAGCAAAAUCAGCCUGAAGUCACGGGUCAUGAAAUAGGAUGCUUGGCCUGAAAAAGGCAUGUGAAGCCAGUCCAAAUUCCGAGUAGAAAAAAGGUCUCCAGUGAGGGCGGGGACAUGGAGGCUGGAAAUUGUAAUAAUCCCAAGAGUAUGUUGGAAUUUUUAUGUGUGGACUUACAUAAUUAAUUUGAUAAUGUCAUAAAUCAGUGUUAUUUAUUUUUGCAUUGUGGUCCAUAAUGGGACUGGACACAUAUUGUUGCUUGAUUUUUAUGGGCUCACCCUAAUUCACUUGACUGGCCCAUUAAGUCAAGUGGUGGUCCAAAUAAUGUGUGUGAUAUAUAUAUAUGAAUAUAUUUAUAUAUAUAUAUAUAAAAGAAAAGGAUGGGCUCACUGUGUGGCUGGCUCCCUGCUCUUCCUCCUUUGGCUGAAAGAGAGCACGCACUCUCGUCAUGGACUGAAUCUGGGUGUAGAAGGGAAGAGCUCAUUAACCCGUAAUUCUCGCACUAUCAAGCACUAUAGAAGCUUCCUGAAUACUAGAAAAGAGCAAGAAAUGGCCUUUCACGGAAUUAACCAAGGUGAACGUUUCCGUUUUUGCCGUUCAAUGCAUGCUUAAAUGUCAACAUGUGAUCCUAUAUUGUUUAAAUUUUCUUUAAUUGGUAUCAGAGCAAGCAUGAUUGACAUUUGAGCUGCAAUUUUGGGUUAAUUUUUGGGUUUCCCGUUUCCUGUGGUGGAAGCCAUUUUUUUGGAUUUUUAUUUCUCGUCUGAUGUUGAUUCUCUGUUUUCAAGCCCGAUUGUUGUUGGAAACUUGUAGAGAAUAUUGUUUGGAGCAAAACCCAUCAUUUUAUUUGAUUUUUGGAGCUUGUUUGGUGGGAUUUCGAAAAUUAGGGCUUGUUUGGUUCUUGCUAUUAUGCGUUUUUUGUGCAAUUUUUGGGUUUGGAUUGAAGAAUUGAUGUUUGAGGAUGGAAAUCUAUGUAUUUUUGACGAAAAAUGCGUGAAAUUUUGGGUGGAAAUUUUUUUUUUCUUCUCCAGAACCAGGCCGUGCUCAGCUAGAGGAGAAGAUGAAUAGUGAUGUGAUGAAUCAUGACGUCAUAAAAAAAAAAAAAAAACCAUUUUUUUUUUUUUUGUUGCCUUGGUAUUCUUGGAUUGAUUGUGCAUAUGCUAGAAUUAUUAUGCAUUUGUUAAAUUUGACUUUAUUGGGACAAUUAUUAUUAUUAUUGUUCUUUAUGGUAUAAUUUUUCCUUAUAUCAAUAAUGUUGUCCUAUGUCAAUUUUGUUAAAUAUUUCAAUUUAUUGAGGCAAUGAAGCACACUUGUGUGAUUGCCUAUCGCAAUUCCAAGUGUGUGAUUGAUUGUGCAUAUGCUAGAAUUAUUAUGCAUUUGUUAAAUUUGGCUUUAUUGGGACAAUUAUUAUUAUUAUUGUUCUUUAUGGUAUAAUUUUUCCUUAUAUCAAUAAUGUUGUCCUAUGUCAAUUUUGUUAAAUAUUUCAAUUUAUUGAGGCAAUGAAGCACACUUGUGUGAUUGCCUAUCGCAAUUCCAAGUGUGUCAAAUUGUGAAAAUUAAGAUAUUUUGAAUUUUAUUCAUGACAAUAGUGAACAUAUGUGUGGUUGCCUAUCGUGAUCCUAUAUGUGUCAAAUUGUCUUUGUUGAGAUAUUUUAUCUCCCUCUUUUGAUUGUUUUAUUAUUGUGAUAACUAAGGUCCAUACGGGUAUUGUGAUUGUCCUAUCGAUGAUUAUAAUAUUUGGUAGGAUGCUUGGAUUGGUGAAGGAAAUUAAUUUUAUAUUAUGACUCGUACUAAUUUUCUUUGCCCUUUCGGUAAUAAAAUUAGUGCAUCUUAGUUGUGAUAUUUAAUUGAUUGUCCUUAUUAAUUGCAUAGAAUCACAUGUUGACAAAUUAAGCAUGCAUUUAACAGCAAAAUUCAAUCCGUUACCUUGGUUCGUGCUUUGGGAAGCCAUUUCUUCUCUCCUUUGAUAUCCAAUAAUCUGUUUUCCGGGUGCGUGAUGGUCCGAGAAUGAGCGAUCAUAUUUGGUAGGAUGCUUGGAUUGGUAAAAGAAAUAAUUUUAUAUUAUGACUCGUACUAAUUUUCUUUGCCCUUUCGGUAAUAAAAUUAGUGCAUCUUAGUUGUGAUAUUUAAUUGAUUGUCCUUACCGCCGUGGAAUUUUCAAAAUUCCAAGCUGUUGCUAAAUUGAGAAAUUCUGGAAACUAGCAAAUGCAUGAUUUUGUAGUAACAUGCAUAUUGCUUAAUUUUGCUAUUUUCCAGCUACUAGCAAUCCUGGUAUUACUCUGCAAUUGUUUGCCAUCAAACCCUCUUACUGGAAUAAUUUUGAGGAAUGUUUUGAGUCUUUCAAUGUGCAUAUGACUAUGCACAUUUUGGACUGGGCUUUGAGAGUUGAUAAGCCAAGUAAAUUUGAGUUCUUCCAUAUUGUGGCACAAACGCCUAGGUCAUAUUUCUAGGCAAAGAUUAGAGAGAUUGGUUAGAGAUGGUGAGUAUUAUGGGAGAUAUGAUGAGACUGGACGGAAUUCUGGACCAUUCACUAAGUUUAUGUUGGAAUGCGGCAUUGAUGCUAGAUAUACAAUGUCAGGCACUCCUCAACAGAAUGGGGUUGCAGAAAGGAGGAAUCGCACAUUGUUGGAUAUGGUGAGGUGCAUGUUGUCUAAUUCCUCCUUACCAGAAUUUCUAUGGGGUGAAGCCUUAAGGAAUGCGGCAUAUAUUUUGAAUCAAGUGCCCAGUAAGUCUGUGCUUAAGACACCUUAUGAGCUAUGCGCAGCGGAAGUGUGGUUAGGCCCUAUAAUCCACAGUCAAAGAAACUUGAUCCUAAAACCAUUAUUGGUUUCUUUGUUGGCUAUUGCAUUGGAUUAAGGGGUUCCAGAUUUUAUUGUCCAUCUCAUACCACCAGGAUCAUUGAGUUAGACAGGGUUGUAUAUUUUGAAGAUGUGAGCUCUGUUGAUGAAAGAUCUAGUGGUAUCUGAAGUUUGAUAGUAUUAUCACCCAAAAUGACUUUAAAGAAAAUACAGUUGACAGAUGCAUAUAUUUGAGGGUUAGUGGGAGUAGUUACAUAUUUCUUGUUUUAUAUGUUGAUGAUAUACUACUCGCAUUAAAUGAUCCUAACUUGUUGAUUGAGACAAAGCACAUGUUGUCAACCCAUUUUGACAUGAAGGAUCUUGGUGAGGCUUCUUAUGUCUUGGGCAUAAAGAUUCUUCGUGAUAGGGCUAAUGGAGUGCUUAAAUUGUCUCAAAGAGCCUAUAUUGAAAAGAUAUGAAGAGGUUCAAUAUGCACAACUGUAGUUUGAUAUUGCUUUUAUUGUGGGCAUGUUGGGAAGGUACUUGAGCAAUCCUGGGAGUCAACAUUGGAAUGCAGCUAAGAAGGUCCUUAGGUAUUUGCAAGGAACUAAGGACUUAAUGUUGACAUAUCAGCGCACCAGCUUACUUGAUGUAGUUGGGUUUUGUGAUGCUGAUUUUGCUGGCUGCAUAGAUGAUAAGAAAUCCACUACGGGCUAUAUUUUUAUGAUGGCAGGAGGAGCUGUAUCUUGGAAAAGUGUCAAGCAGACACUUACAACAUCCUCAACUAUGGAGGCAGAGUAUGUGGCAUGUUAUGAGGCUUGUUGUCAUGCUAUGUGGAUGCGGAAUUUUGUUUCAGCUUUAGGAGUUGUUGACUCCAUUUUUAGACCGCUGAAAUUAUUUUGUGAUAAUUCCGCAGCUGUUGCUUUCUCCAAGAACACUAGGAGUAUUUCUCGCUCCAAACAUAUUGAUGUAAAGUUCUAUUUUGUUAAGGAGAAAGUGGCAGGGUCUCUUAUUGAUAUUGAACACAUGUCCACAAAAAGUAUGUUGGCGGAUCCAUUAACAAAAGGCUUACCCAUAAUUGCGUUUCAGGAACAUGUAUCUCAAAUGGGGUUGUUGGAAGCCUAGGUUGUAUUAAGUUAGUGGGAGCCAUUUUUUUUUUGUAUUGUAAUACUAUGUUAUUGUUGAAAGGAUUGCUAUUAUUGUACAUUUCCCUAUGAAUCAAGCAAUGAAGCAUAUAUGAUCGCUUUUGAUUAUUUAUUUCUGAUGAGAUUCUAUGGGACAUUGAUUUAUGAUUAUGUAUAUGUUGUGAUGUUUGAUUAUAUAGUCCAAGUGGGAGAAUUGUUGGAAUUUUUAUGUGUGGACUUACAUAAUUAAUUUGAUAAUGUCAUAAAUCAGUGUUAUUUAUUUUUGCAUUGUGGUCCAUAAUGGGACUGGACACAUAUUGUUGCUUGAUUUUUAUGGGCUCACCCUAAUUCACUUGACUGGCCCAUUAAGUCAAGUGGUGGUCCAAAUAAUGUGUGUGAUAUAUAUAUAUAUAUAUAUAUAAAAGAAAAGGAUGGGCUCACUGUAUGGCUGGCUCCCUGCUCUUCCUCCUUUGGCUGAAAGAGAGCACUCACUCUCGUCAUGGACUGAAUCUGGGUGUAGAAGGGAAGAGCUCAUUAACCCGUAAUUCUCGCACUAUCAAGCACUGGAGGAGCUUCCUGAAUACUAGAAAAGAGCAAGAAAUGGCAUUUCACGGAAUUAACCAAGGUGAACGUUUCCGUUUUUGCCGUUCAAUGCAUGCUUAAAUGUCAACAUGUGAUCCUAUAUUGUUUAAAUUUUCUUCAGAGUAGUCUUGCGCCCUUGUCCAAAUGAGAACAUCACGAGAGAGAUUGAAAAUGGUGUCUCCAGCGUCUGUUUCUAGCACCGGCUUUGAAAAAGCAAUAUGAACGCAAUCAACUCAAAUAAAGAAUUGCCAAGAUUUUCCAUUGAAAAGCCCACCAUUCAUUCAUUCAUACAUUUUCUGCAACUUUUUUGUCUUCAUAUAAAACCUUCAUCAUCACCCAUCUCCAUUCACAAAACCAAGACGAGGGCUCGGGUUUCUUCUGAUGGAUCACCUGGGAUCAUUAACAAUUAGAAAAAUACUUGUCCCGAGUGUAAAAUGCCGGUCGGAAUGCUGGAAAGUUAAUGAGAAAAUGUUCAGUCUCAAUACCUUCAUAAAAAAAUAUUGAUUUUAUAAAUGUUUGAUAAGUUGAUUCCAAAAAAACACUUUUUAAAUAAUAAAAAAUUGGAUAAAUAAAUUUUAGCUGUUUUUUUAAAUAAUUCUUGGAUUUUUAUUUUAUAAAAAUUGUGUAAAUUUAAUUUAUAUAAUCUUAAUUAAAUUAAUUCAAAUCUUAUUAAAAAUAAAAAUAAUUAUAAAUCAUAAAUAAAUAGUUCUUAGCAAAAUAUGAAUAUUGGCAUUGCAAUAAAAUUAUAAAUUAUAUUUUUAUUAAAAAAAGGAAUUAUUUUAGUAUUUCUUAUUAUAAAGGCAUGAUUGAUUUUUUUUUUUUUUGUUAAAAUGAAUAAUAAUAAUAAUAAAUACUAUUUUAUUUAAAAUAAAUUUAAAAACAAACAAAGUUUUAUUUUUUGUUUUGUAAGUUAAUUUAAAUUAGAUGCAAAAUGGACCAUUAGAGCCUCCAUCGGCCCAAUAGCCAUUUGGUUUAGUGGUGGCUUUAAAAAGAACAUCAGCUUUGCUGUUGCAACAAGGACCUUGAACCGUAGAUCUUAAGCUUCAAAUAGGAUGGGAUAUCUCUCCACUCUGCUAGUUUUUGCUUGUUUAGAAGCCUAACAAGAAACAACUAGAUAGGCUAUUUCAAAAAAUAAUAUAUAUAUAUAUAAUUACACAAUUCGAUUUUUUUCAUUUAAUACAAAUUUUUUCUAUUUUCAAUAUAUUUUCAUAUUUAAAUAUUGUAUAUAUAUAUUUUUAAUAAAUUUAAAAUAUUAAUCCAUUUAUAUAAAAAAGAAUAAAUAAUAUUACAAUUAUUAUUAUUUUUAAACUAUAUAUAUUUUAAAUAUUUUAAAAUUAAUUUUAAUUUUAAUAAAAUAUAAAUUAUAUAUUUAUGACAUCACCAAUACGACCGCCAUUUGACCAUGGGUCCGACUAAUAAACUGUAAAGUGGUAAUUUUUUUGAUUCUAAAAACAUUGAGAAAAUAUGAAGAAGACAAGAAAAAUAAAAGAAGGUAAAAUAUAAAACAAGAUUAUGACCUCUAGUGUCUCUUCUAAGUAGAGAUGAAAAAUCUCCACUUCUUCAUGCUUAUAUUCAACUUCUACACCAUUUUUCUCUUAAGCUAUGUUUAGUACCCAAAAAAUUUGAGGGAAAAUAAAAUAUAAAAGGAAAUAAAAAGUAAAGGAAAAAAAAUAUAUUAGAAGUCCAUAAAUUAUUUUUAUUUAUUAUUUCAAAUUCAUUUUACUUAUUUUAAUUUAUCGGUAUAAAUAUUAAAUAAUUUAAAAAUAUAUAAGUUUUUAACUAGUUUUAAUUAUAUUUGGUUUUCUUUAAUAUUUUUUAUAUAACAAUCAAAUAUGAGAAAAUCAAUUUCUUUUACAUUUUUUUUUCUUUCCAUAAUAUUUUUUGAGAACCAAAUACAACCUUAAUAAAUUUUCAAAGAAGAAGAAUAAGAAAAGAAAACCUAAGGAAAUGAAGAAAUAUGAGUUAAUAUAAAUAACCCUAUUAUUUACAUUAGGAUGUAAAACAAAGGGAAUAGAAGGUUUCCUUGGUACUUUAGUAGUACAAUAGGUGUUGUUGUUGUACUAUUAAUAUGAAGUAGUUGUACAAUAGAAUAUCAUUCGCCUUAUAUCAUAGGCCUUCUAGUGGGAAGGCCAACCACAAACUGUAACGCUUUUAAUACAUCCCCAAAUUUCAAGUAUAUGUGUAACAUUUGGUAACCUCUAUAAAUGUGACACGUGACACUUCUAAUAUAUCCUCUAAUUAAAUACACUUAUUAGUUAAAAUAAUUAUUUUGUAGCUUAUUUCUAUAAUUUUGAGGUUAUUUAAAUUUCCUAAUUAUUUUUAAUUUAAUUGGAUUUUUAAUUAUUAUAUAUAUAUAUUUUUUAAACUAAAAAUUUCCUAUCUAACAAUUCAGGAUUUUACAAUUAAUUAGUAAAAUUUUAAAGUUUUAAAUUAUUUUAAAAACUACUAAAAUAUUGAAGAAUUUAGUUCAUUAAAUCUCAUUUGCAACUUCGAGUUUUUAUAUUGUAUUAAAAAAAGUAACUUUUCAUUUUUAAAAUUAUGAUUAUAUUGAUACUAAAAUGAUAAAAUAUUCAUAGUAAGAUAGAUUUUGAGUCGACCUCGCCGGGUGAAUCUUCAACUCAAAUCAAGGUCGGAUUAAUAUUUCUUAAUCCAGUUAGCUUGUAUAAACAACAAAAUAGAUGAUGCAAUUUUUUUUAAAAAAAAAUUAGAAGCAAUUUUGUUUUUAUAUUGUAUUAAAAAAAUAACUUUUUAUUUUUAAAAUUAUGAUUAUAUUGAUACUAAAAUGACAAAAUAUUCAUAGUGAGAAACUUAGAUAGGCUUUGGGUUUGAUCUCGAUGCAUGAAUCUUCAACUCAAAUCAAGGUCGGAUUAAUAUUUCUUAAUCCAAUUAGCUUAUAUAAACAACAAAAUAGAUGAUGCAGUUUUAAAAAAUUUUAGAAGCAAUUUUAAAGACUUUGUCAAACACUUAGAAAAUUCUUAAACACAAAGAAAAAAAAUGUUUUAUUUAUUUAUUUUAAUAUUAGAAAUUAGUGCUAGUCAUCAACCAUUUUGUUAGAAGUCAUUAAUUUGAGUCGAACAAAGACGAACGAUUUGAAUGUCAAAGUUGAAUGAAAAUUAUUCCACAUGAUACAGAGCAUAGCAUAGACUUGGUCCCCCUGUCAUCGUAUCUCCAUAUCCAGGACAAUUUGAUUACUUAUCCCGGAAGUAUCAUCCAGAAGACUCCAGGGUUUAUCACCAAUACAUCACAUGCACCCAUAAUUUUCUUCGGCGGACGUAGGCAGAACAGGUUUAUCAUCUCUGUAUGCAUGAUUUUCUUCGACAACCGCGUAGUUGGAGGUCUUUUUUUAAGUCUUCUUUCACUUCUAUAUAAGAACAGAGCAUCACAUGGUUAUUAAACACCAUUCUCUACCUCUCUCUCAGACCAUGAAACUCCACUGCUCAUGGAUGGUGGUACUGGCCACACUAUGUGUAGCUCCGCUGUGCUUCGCGAUGGAGCCCGUCUCCGAGUCGGAUAAACUCGGAAGCUUGCCUGGGCAACCACAUGUCAGCUUCCAACAGUUUGGUGGAUACGUAACCAUUGAUGAAAAGCAAGGCAGAGCUCUUUUUUACUACUUUGUUGAAGCAGUAACUGAUCCUACUGCCUCAAAGCCUCUUGUUCUCUGGUUAACUGGAGGUAAUUAGUAUCAAAUUCUUCUUCUCUGGCAUCUUAUUAAGGUAAGUAGAUAAAGUUAAAAUCAUUUCAUUCUUGGUCUCUGAGUAGUGGAAUUUAUUUUGUAGGACCUGGUUGUUCGUCCCUAGGAGGGGGGGCUUUCAUGGAACAUGGCCCUUUUAGGCCCCGCGGGAACACUCUGUUAAGGAAUAAGCAUAGCUGGAACAGAGGUGUGUUGUAGAUUUUGGACAAAGUUGUUUUCAAUUUCAAUCAAGUGUGGUAGAAUUUGUUAGUAUUUAGGGCACUUUGCUCAAUUUUUCUCGACUAUGAUAUUAAUUAAAUUACUAAAAUGAUGAAAUUUACCUCUGAAAUUCUUCUAUCACAGAGGCAAAUAUGUUGUAUGUGGAGUCACCAGCUGGAGUUGGGUUUUCUUAUUCUCGUAAUAAGUCCUUCUAUGAUGAUAUAAAUGAUGAAGUCACAGGUUCAUUUUUUAUCCCCUUUUGUCAAUGAUUUCAACUAAAGGUCUUCAGACGUACUGAUUUUUGGAUGUUUUUCUUAAGCACGAGACAACCUCGCAUUCUUGGAGGGCUGGUUCAUGAAAUUUCCAAAGUACAGGAACAGAGAAUUAUUCAUUACAGGGGAGAGUUAUGCAGGUAAUUUUAGUGAAGACCUGUUAUUCAGGUUAAGACAAUCAUUUGAAUUCAUAGUGAAUUCAUCAAUUUUUAUUUUCUCUUCCUAUUUUAAUUGAAGGUCUCCUUUUAAUUCAGGUCACUACGUUCCUCAACUUGCACAGCUCGUUAUUAAUUCCGGCAAGAAUUUCAAUUUGAAAGGAAUCCUUGUGAGUAAAUUUGCAUUAAGUAUACAUUCUUAAAAUAAAUGGUUGGGCUAAAACUGAUAAUUGAGCUCGAUUUGAUGGCUGCAUGCAGAUUGGAAAUCCUCUUCUAGAAUUCGAUACUGAUAUGAAUGCCCAAGGAGACUUUUUCUGGUCCCAUGGAUUGAUUUCAGAUUCUACACAUGCACUUCUCACGUCCACCUGCAACUAUUCCCAAAUUAUGCGAUGGGUUUAUAAUAUCAGCGAGUCUCUCUCGCCCGAGUGUUACGAGGUAUAUAACAAAUCUGCGGGAGAAAUUGGUGGAUCAGUUGACCCAUUUGAUGUUCUUGGGGACAAAUGUUUGUCAUCGGUAAGGUUUCAUUUCUUCAAUCCAGUUGGUGGGCAGAGGGAAGGAGAAAAAAAAAGACUUGUUUGUACUUGACUUUGAUGGUAAUAUUUGGGUUUGACUCAUGCAGGAAGAGGUCUGCCUAACAGAUGAAGUGGACGUGUAUCUAAACAGGAAAGAUGUGCAGAAGUCUCUCCAUGCCCAGCUUGUGGGCACGCCCAACUGGACUUUAUGCUAUCCGUAAGGAUUCCACACAUUUCCAAUUUACUCUAUGGACGGGUUUACUUUAUUUAAGGGGAAAGGAAAGGAAGGGAAUCAUUCCAUUUCCUCUCUCCUCAUCCGUGGGAAAUCGAUUUCGAUUCCGGAUUUCUUGGAUCUGUUGUUUUAACAUUGUUCUGUAUUGCAGGGAUAGUGCCCACUUCUUGAAAGACGCUGUGAUUCCAUCUAUUAAUGUUGUGGAAUGGCUUGUUAGGUCUGGGAUCCGCGCCUCUGUUUACAGGUAGGUUCCAUUCGUCUGAUGAUAUGACAUCUGGAAAUGUUGGGUUUUUAUUUACAAUUAUGAAAAUAACAAUUAAAAUUGCAGCGGAGAUCAAGAUUCAAGGAUGUCCCUAUUUGGAACCAGGUCUUUACUGGAGGGAUUGGCAAAGAAGCUGAAGCUGAAAACAACCGUGCCUUACAGAAAUUGGUUCGAGAAGAAACAGGUUCACAUAUGAUCAUUCCACAUACUAAUUGAAAUUGAAGGUGAGACAAAUUAAAAAUGAGUGACCGUAAUGACCAUGUUUUCCAAUUUUCCUUUCUUCUUCAGGUGGGUGGGUGGACGCAAGUGUACGGUGAUAUCCUAUCUUUUGCGACCAUCAGAGGAGGUUCUCACACAGCACCCAUAUCACAACCGGCGAGAUCACUGGCGCUGUUUACGGCAUUUCUAGAAGGAAAGCCCCUCCCAGAUGCAUGAAACUCAUCAAUUUCAUGGUUGAAUAAAUAAGUUGGAGGGGAGGGUGUUUUAUCUCGCCAGCAAAUGUCACAUCCUCUGUGUAUGGAUGUGUUCCAUUUAUAUACAUAUAGUGGAAAAAUAAUUGUAUCAUGUAAUUUGAAUUUGGGUGUAAAAGUUUUAAUAGUCUACACGAAGGUGCAAAAAAUUGUGAUUUAGUCAUUUUUUAAUAAUAAAAAAAGUAAUGAUUUUUUUUUUACUAUGAAAAUAAUAAAUUUAAAUCAUUGGUGGGAUGCAAGUUAAUUUAAUUUUUCAUUUAUUUUUUACUUGCAUGAUUCACUUAUUGAGGAGAAUAAAAGGAAAAAUUACUUAGUUAUGCAUGAUUUUCGUAUUUCAUACCUUUGAAAUAUUGCAAUUUUUUUUUUCUCUGAUAACCAAAACCAUAGACAUAAAAAAAAAUAAAACUAAAAUUUUAAUGUGAUUUGACAAUCAAUAUAAUAUCUACAUCUAUAAAGUGCAUCAAUACUUCAAAAUUCACUAAUCAAAAGAAAUGUUACAACUUAAAACAACAUUUUAAAAAAAACCCUAAAAAUUAAUACGAUUUAGUCACUAUCAUUUUUUCAAGUAAUAAAAAUUAUACGAUAUGAUUAUUCUUGUUUUGUAUGUAGGAAAGAAAAUACAAUUUAGUUAUUAUUACUGAAAAUUUUGUGGAAAUAUUAUGUAGUUUAGUUAUUAUUUUUUGAAAAAUAGUAAAAAAAAAAAAAAGGAAAUAUUUAUUUAAAUAAAAUUUUGAUGAAGUCUAUUCUUCUUGUAUUUUUCAUUUUUUAAAAUUCUUUUAUAUAUUUAUUAAUUAUGAAUCUCCUUUUCCCCUUUAAAAACCUUUCAAAGAACUUUAAAGUUCUUGGAGAAAUUUGAAAACCUUCUAACAAAAGAUUUGAACCUCCCGUGGUACUCUUCUCUUAACUGAGAAUUUAGGAUUUCCCUAGUUCAUAAAGAUUGAGGGGAUUUUCUAUUGUCUUAGGCUAUGUUUGGUUCUUAGAAGGUUUAAAAACAAAUACAAGAGAAAAAAAAAAUGAAAGAUAGAAGAAAAGAAAAAAAAAAAUUAAAAUAAAUAAAUUAUUAUUAUAUAUUACUUCAAACUUUUUUCACAAAUUUAACUCUUCUAUUCUUAAUAAUUUUAAUGAUUUUUAACUUUCUUUUGCAUUUUAUAGUAAAAUCAAAUAUGAGAAAAUAAUUUUAUCUAACAUUUUUUUUUUCUUUUUCUACUGUUUUGAAAAACCAAACAUAACCUUAAAAUUUAAAUUUAUUUCUCAAAAUUGAUAAUUAUUAUUUUAGUUAUUAAUUUAAUAUUUUUAUCUAUUCUAAUCCUCUAAUUUUAAUUGUUCAAAAUCUAUUUCUUAAUUUAUGUUUCUUAAUUUAUGGACCCAUACAAUAUUAUUUUAUUUAUCAAAAACUCGUCUUGUCAACAUAAGUUUAAAUAACUUUUUUUUUCUAUAAUAAAAACAUAUUAUUUUAGAAUGAUGUUUUAUGUGUUAUUACUUUAAAUAAAAUUUCUACUACUAACUACGUAAUAAGCAAAUAAUUAGGGUUAAUUAAAAAUAAUUUUAUUUAUUAAAUAUAUAAAAAUUUAUAUUUAAUAAUCAAGUAUCAUUUAAUAAGAUCAUAAAAAUGAAAUAAUUAAAAUUUUUAAAAUGUCAAACACUUUGUAGUAUUAAAAAUUUUCAAAUAUUGUAAUGGUUAAAAACGCUUUCUAAAAUGACCAUAAAAUGGAAUCUAAAUCUAUUUUAUGAAAGUCCUACAAUAUAAACAAAAUAUAUAAAAGAAAAAUAAUACAAAACAAAAUUUUUAUUAAAAUUAAUAAAUUAUGUGAUACAAUCUUUGUAAUAAUAUUUUUUUGUAAAAUAAUAAAUUUCUCUAAUUCUUUUAACUUGAUCAUAAUUUGAAAGAUGACAAUGAAAAUGUUUCUUUAAUCUGAGAGAACAAUCAAUGAUCAUUAAUAACUUGAUUUGGAAUGAACUCGUUUAAAAGCAAAGAUCGCAUAUGAAAUACUUAUGUCAUCUCUUUAACUUGCAAGGAGAUUUCAUUAAGGAAAUUUGUUAAUAAAAAAAUAUUUAUUUAUUUUCAUUAAAAUACUUGUUCAAUUUUAAUAUAGUAUUUUCCCAUCUAUCACCUUUUUAAUACAUGUGACGUUUCAAAAUAGUACUUAUUAUUAAUCCCAAAUUUUAUCCAAAGCCACGUUUUUUUUUAACAUCUUUUUAAUAAUAAUUUAUUUCACCGAAAAUUUGGAUCUAUGACAACUUUCUUCCUUCAAAUUAGAUUCCUUUCUCCUCGGGAUCUGAAGACACGAUGGGACGUGUCUUCUCAAUAGUACAACCAGGAACGUGUCGACUGAAAUUGUAUGCUUGGAUCAGUCAGUUUCUUUUCUCACUGGAAAGUAGAAGGAGGACAACCUUGGCGUCACUCAUGACGUCCAAAGAAACACCACUCCAAAUAUAUCUGCGUUCAUACAAGGCACCUUUUUCAACGCAUGGAAAUUGUGCCCUUCCUAUAAUAAAUUGGAGAAUCAAGCUGUCUCCAUAGCUUCUCUUUCUCUCUCGGUAACCAUGCAAACCCAGUCUUGGAUGAUGAUCCUGGCUGCAGUAUGCGCAGCUCUGGUUCACUUCUGUUCAUCAGCAGUGGAGUCCCACUCUGCCCAGGCUGAUCAAAUCAGUAGUUUGCCGGGACAACCCCGAGUCAGCUUUCAACAAUUUUCGNNNNNNNNNNNNNNNNNNNNNNNNNNNNNNNNNNNNNNNNNNNNNNNNNNNNNNNNNNNNNNNNNNNNNNNNNNNNNNNNNNNNNNNNNNNNNNNNNNNNGAUACAUUUUUCUAACUGAUUAUGGGUCUGCUUUUCUUUAUAAGCACGAGACAAUCUCGUCUUCUUGAAGAAUUGGUUCAUCAAAUUCCCACAAUACAAGAACAGCGAAUUGUUCAUAGCUGGAGAGAGUUAUGCUGGUAUGCUGUAACAUAAUAAAGAAUAUUCACAAGUCUCUUCCCCACGUUAACCAAAAUUUUGUCCUUUGAUUUCAAGCGCUCUGAUCAAACAUGAUUUUUUUUUUUUGCUUCAAUCCUCUGCUUGAUUUAUUCUUUUUUCAGGUCACUUUGUUCCACAACUUGCCCAACUCAUUCUUGAGUCCCGCGUGAAGUUCAAUUUGAAAGGAAUCCUUGUGAGUUGAGGCAGAGAAAAAUCCGGAUCAGUUUUUCUUAUAGGAUUGGACUGAAAUUAAUGUUAGGACUUAAUUUUAAUAUUGCAGAUGGGAAAUCCUCUUAUGGAUUUCGAUACUAAUUACAACUCAGUCCCACAUUUCUACUGGUCCCAUGGCUUGAUAUCAGAUUCUACUUACAAUCUUUUCUCUUCCAAGUGCAAUUAUUCUCGAAUGAACAGAGAGCAGACAUCUGGUUCUUUAUCACCUGCUUGUUUAGCUGUACGAAGCCAAUAUUCACAAGAAGUUGGUGACUCUGUUGACCGGUUUGAUGUCACUCUUAACUCCUGCUUACCAUCUGUUGAUCCACAACCGGUGAGGUUAACAUUAUCUCAAUAGUGCUCCACCAUUAAAAUACACUGCAAUUAAUUUCAUCACCAUGAUAAUUUACUUUUUUUAGUAGGAAUUUGCACAAUUUUGCUUUAGUUUGUACAUGACUUUGCUUUCGGCCUAUGCAGCAAGUCACAGAGAAUGUGGAUGUUUGUAUAGGAGACGAAGUAAACAAGUAUUUCAAUAGGGAAGAUGUGCAGAAGUCUCUCCAUGCUAGACUAGUUGGAGUCGCCAACUGGAGUAUGUGCAGCGGGUAAAAUUCAAUCUACAAUGGACCUCUACUACAUAACCAACUUUUUUUCUAGCAUCCAUAUUUGCUUUUUCUUUUUCUCUUACCUUUUGCUUUUUAAAAUUGCGAUUUCAUGGAUAUAAAUUGUUUUUUUUUUUAAUCUCCAUGUUACAGUGCUCUUAGAUACAAUAUAAAAGACAAAGAGAUAACCAUGAUUCCUGUCAUGGGCUCCCUUGUCAAGUCUGGUAUCCGGACCUUUGUUUACAGGUAAUGUUACAUGAUACAUAUGGGCGCUAUUUUUUUUCAUUAUGAUUCAAAAUAGUGAUAGUAAUACUUAAAAACCUCUACAGUGGAGAUCAAGAUUCAGUAAUCCCACUAUUUGGAACUCGGACUCUGGUGGAUGGAUUGGCGAAGGAGUUGAGACUGAAUACCACUGUGCCUUACAGAAAUUGGUUUGAGGGAGAACAGGUCGGCUUCUAUACAUGAAUAUGAGAUUAACUUCAUAAAUCACUUCAAGUUUCAACUGCUUAAUUAAAGAUCGGAUGAUUCAAAUCUCAUUCAUGAUGGUUUUUCUUCUGUUUUUCUAGGUUGGUGGAUGGACGCAAGUUUAUGGUGACAUCCUAUCCUUUGCCACCGUGAGAGGAGGGUCACAUACAGUGCCGGGUACACAACCAGCCAGAGCACUAGUUCUGUUCACUGCAUUUCUAAAAGGACAACCCCCACCAGCUGAAUGAACGGAUCAAAUUCACGGAUAAGAACUAUAGGUCAUUAUGUAUUACUAGAUAACAGAGGAUGUCUCUUCAUAUUGUGUUCAGAUAUUAAUGCAUUUCCUUUUAGAUUAGAUCAAUGCUCUUCACAUCCUCAUUUUCCAUGCAUUUAGCAGCAUCUCAGGUAUCAGAACGGCAAAUUUGCAUUUAAAAUCCUGUGAUUAUUGUAGAGGACUUCAGUUGGAACACUCGGAUUAGAAUUAGAAGCAGAAUUUUUUCGUAAAGAGAAGGAUAAACUGCUAACUAUAAGCCUAAACCAAACCAUAAAGCUUAUCAGCCCAUAACUAGCACUAUAUGGGGGAUCAAUAUUCCAAGCCUAAAAUUAAUGGCCCAUGCACAACACCUAAUAUCCUAACCAAACAACAGCCUUUUCUUUCCUAGCCCUAAAACCCUUGUUCUUCAAUCUCACGACCACUCUCUUGUUUUCACACCCUUGGAUCUCAACUUCGGGAGGAGACGAUGCAACAUGAAGCAAACCACGAUUUUAUGGCUUUAAGAAUAUGGUGGAAGAAAGCUCUGAUUGGCAGAGAAUAGCAGCACCGACUUGCACUCUUCUAGAGAUUUAGAAAUAGGUUGAAAUUUGAUACACUUCUUAAGAUGUAUUAUGUAAUUUUUUCAGAAAAAAAAAAAUCUUUGGUUGACUUUUUCGAAGAAAAAUUCAAAGCAUAUUAUAUAAUAAAAUGAAUAUUAUACUAAAGAACGAUAGAUUAAUUUGAUUGUUUAAGUUUCUCGAAUUAAUCAACAUUGGUGGUAUCUAUAAGAGAUCGAAGACACCAUCAUCCUAGCUACAUCACACGCCAAAGGUCUCCAUUCAGCUGUCUCUCUCUCUCCAGAGUCCAGAGACGUCUGUCUCAUCAAAGCCCUGAAAUCCCAGUCAUAGAUGGAAUGUUAUACUUAUUAUAAUAAUAGCCACAACAUGUACAACUCCGUUAUGCUCAACAAUGGAGACACUCUGCAAGCCCACGUCAGUUUUCAACAAUUUUCUGGAUAUGUAACCAUAGAUGGAAAGCAACACAGUGCUCUUUUCUAGUAAUUUGUUGAAGCAGAAAAUGACGUGGAGGCGGUUUCACCUUUUCUUCUUGUUAGUUGUUACGGGGAGGAAUAUUUUUUCUAUAUGAAUCUCUAUCAGUUUGUAUUAAAAAAUAGUGUGUUAGAAAGUUGUGUGACUUUGUUUUACGGCCAGCUUAUGAUUCAAAUAUGCAGAAAGCCACAGAGGAUGUAGAUGAUUGCUGCUUGCAUAUACAACAAAACAACGAAGUGACCAAGUGUUUUUAAGCAGGAAAGACGUGCUUAAAGCUUUCUGCAUUAACUAAAAAUAUAAUUUACUUUGAAUCUGUGACUAAAAAUGUUGUUUCAUAGUGAUUUUAUAAAAUAUUUUUAAUAUUUUUGAUAUUUGAAAAUUUUUGUUAUUUAAAUAUUAAAAAUGUUAAAAAUAUUUUUUAAAAUCAGUGUGCAAGUGUAACUCUAAUAAUUAUCACAAUUCAUGGGGAGAAUGGAGAUCAAGAUUCAAUUUUGUCCCACCAUUUGGGAGUCGGACUCAGGUGAGCGAAUUGGCCAAGGAAGCUUCAGGUGCGCGUCGAGCCUCGCUCCAGUGCGCGUCGCGGCGCGCUUCAGGUGCCCGUCGGGGCGCGCUUCAGGGUAAGCUUCAGGGUCAUGUCGAGGCGCGCUCAGGUGAGCGAAUUGGCCUAGGAACGCUUCAGGUGAGCGUCGAGCCUCGCUCCAGUGGGCGUCGCGGCGCGCUUCAGGUGAGCGUCGGGGCGCGCUUCAGGGUCGUGUUGAGGAGCGCUCAGGUGAGCGAAUUGGCCAAGGAAGCUUCAGGUGCGCGUCGAGCCUCGCUCCAGUGCGCGUCGUGGCGCGCUUCAGGUGCGCGUCGGGGCGCGCUUCAGGUCGCUUCGGGGUAAGCUUCAGGGUCUUGUCAAGGCGCGCUCAGGUGAGCGAAUUGGCAAGGAACGCUUCAGGAGCGCGUCGCUGUAAGCUUCAGGGUCGUGUCGAGGCGCGCUCAGGUGAGCGAAUUGGCCAAGAAACGCUUCAGGUGUGCGUCGAGCCUCGCUCCAGUGCGCGUCGCGGCGCGCUUCAGGUGAGCGUCGGGGCGCACUUCAGGGUCGUGUUGAGGAGCGCUCAGGUGAGCGAAUUGGCCAAGGAAGCUUCAGGUGCGCGUCGAGCCAUGCUCCAGUGCGCGUCGAGCCACGCUCCAGUGCGCGUCGAGGCGCGCUUCAGGUGCGCGUCGGGCCGGCUUCAGGUCGCUUCGGGGUAAGCUUCAGGGUCGUGUCGAGGCGCGCUCAGGUGAGCGAAUUGGCCUAGGAACGCUUCAGGUGCGCGUCGAGCCUCGCUCCAGUGCGCGUCGCGGCGCACUUCAGGGUCGUGUUGAGGAGCGCUCAGGUGAGCGAAUUGGCCAAGGAAGCUUCAGGUGCGCGUCGAGCCUCGCUCCAGUGCGCGUCGAGGCGCUCUUCAGGUGCGCGUCGGGGCGGCUUCAGGUCGCUUCGGGGUAAGCUUCAGGGUCGUGUUGAGGAGCGCUCAGGUGAGCGAAUUGGCCAAGGAAGCUUCAGGUGCGCGUCGCGGCGCGCUUCAGGUGCGCGUCGGGGCGCCCUUCAGGUCGCUUCGGGGUAAGCUUCAGGGUCGUGUCGAGGCGCGCUCAGGUGAGCGAAUUGGCUUCAGGUGCGCGUCGAGCCUCGCUCCAGUGCGCGUCGAGGCGCGCUUCAGGUGCGCGUCGGGGCGCGCUUCGGGGUCGUGUCAAGGCGCGCUUCGGGGUCGUGUCAAGGCGCGCUUCAGAGCGAGGCGGCUACCCCGAAAGGGAUACGCGUCAGGGUUCGAGAAUGGAUGAGGCACGCUUCCGGUGCCCGCUUUUCAGACCUGGAGGGUGGACGCGUCAGUCUGAAUGUGGUUGAACAAAAAAUGAAAUGGAUGCAAAGCAAAUUUUACAUUUGUUUUUUUAUAAGAACUAUACAUUUUAUGUAAAGGUUUUAUAUUUUAUGUAAAAUAUAGAAAGUAUAUCCACUUGUCACCUUAGUUUUUCUUCAUUAUAUUAGGUAAUAAAAAAUUUAUGCAAUUAAAUUAUUGAUUUUUUUCACUAGCAAAAAUGUUAUAUGAUUGAAUUAUUAUUAAUCUUUUUAAAAUAGUAAAAAAAUGAAAGUGCGAAACCAUUACUCUUUUUUGUUUAUUAUUAUUAUUUUUUAUUUUUUAUAUGUUUUAAUAUUUACUAAUUAUGAGAAUUAAAAUUUUAAAAGCUUAGGCCCAAUGUCAAAUUGGGAAGCUAAAAUAUUUACUCUAGACUUUUAACUUCAAAAAUUUUGUAAGGGAGAAAAGGUCAUCAUCCCUAUCUAAAUUAAUAUUCUAAUUAAAAUGUUUUUAUUAUGUAAUAAUACUUUUGUAUUUCUAAUAAAAAUGCAUUUAAGAAAAAUUAACUAAAUUAUGUUUAGUUUCCAAAAUAUUGGAAGAGAAAUGUGAAGGAAAUUAAAAAAUAUAUUUAAAGUUAAUAAAUAGUUUUAAGACAUUACUUGAAAGUCAUUUCAUACAUUUUAAUUUUAUUGUAUAAAGAUUGAAUAAUUUGAAAAUGCAUAAAUUAUAUUAUGUUUGGUUCUUCAAAAAUUUAAGGAAAAAAAAGAAUAUAUAUAUAUAUAUAUAUAUAUAUAUAUAUAUAUAUAUAUAUAUAUAUAUAUAUAUAUAUAUAUAUAUAUAUUUUAUAAUUAAUAAAUUAUUUUUAUAUAUUAUUUUCAAUUUAUUUCACUUUUUUUUCUUGAUUAAAUAAUUAAAAUAUUUAAAAAUUUAUAAUUUGUUUUAAUUAUAUUUGAUUCUCCUUUUAUAUAUAUAUAUACACAGAGAACCGUUUUUUUGUUGUUGAGCACCUGCGCAUAUGUUCAGAGCAAACUCCAACCAUGCACUUGAACAAACAAUUGGACUAAGCUUGGGGAUGAAGAAAAUGGAGAUGUGGAUAGGAGCAUAGUGUGGCCCCGUUGGUUAAUAAGUGAUUGGGGGCAAGGGAACAAACACUUUGAUGGCACAUGGAGGAGCACUUACAAGGAAGAAUGAUACCGUACUUGAAUUUUAUGGAUGUAUCGGUCAAAUAUAGAUGAAUAUUCUAAUAGUGAGACGAAAAUGGUUUAAAAUUCAUUAAAAUACUUUAAUUUUUUUUUAAAUAAUAAAAUAAAUAAAAAUAUAUAUGUUAAAAUUAUUUUGUAAGUGCAAAUAACGUAAUUAUGAUGAAGGAUAAUAUUUAUAAAAAAAUUUAGAAAAAUUUAUCUUGAAUUCCUUUCAUAUAUUUAUAUUCAUCUAUUUUAAAAUUUUAAAACUAUUUUUUAUUAAAAACAUGUUUUAUUACAUUUUAAAUAAAAAAUAAAAUCCUUUUUAAGAUUUAUAUAAAAUGUUUUAUUUGAGAUUUAUUUUCUAAAAUUUUAUUAUAUGUGGUAACAACUUUUUAUUAUAGAUAUUAAUUUAUUUAAAGAAUUAAAAUUAUUAAAAAUUAUAUUAAUAGUUUAUCCUAUCAAAUUAAUUUAAAUUUAUAAAAUAUUAGACCUUUAUUAUUAUUAUUAUUAUUAUUAUUAUUAUUUACAUUUUAGCAAUUUUUGAAUACAUUUAUGUUUUCAAUAUUUUAAAAUGAAAAUAUUUAAAUUAAAUAAAAUUAAAAGGAUAAACAUAAAAAAUUUAAAGUGAAAUGAUAGUAAAAUUUUAAAAUAUGAUUAAUGAGAUAAAUGAUGAUAGAUUUAAUAUUAAAACUACAAUUCAUUUAAUUCAAAUAAAUGACCAUGUAUGAUUUUUUUUAAUAUUUAUAUUUUUUAUAUUUAAUUAUCAUACUUGUUAAGAAAAUUAUAAUGAUGGUUUUUCUACUUUUAGUAAUCAAUUAAAUAAAAUUUAAAAUAAAAUAAUUAGAAUUAAUAUAUUUAUUAAAAUAUUCUUAUAACAAUGAAGUUUAAUAUAUUGAUAUGUAUAUAUAUUAAGGCAAACUUGCCCCAACGGUGGUUAGACAUGAGUUCAAGCCUUUUUGACCCAACGAUAGUUAAUUGAUUGAAAUAUUGUGAAAAUUUAUGAAAAGUCGAUAUUUCGGUGAUAAUUCCAAAAUAUAAGCUAAAUUUCUCCUAAUUUUCGGUCCCUAUUGAAUCACUCUGACAAGUGAAGCGAAAUAUUGAUAAAAUUUCACUAAAAAUUUGCGAUAUUUCAAACAUUGGUUUCAAGCACACAUCAAGGCACGAUUCAAGAGACAAACCCAUCAAGGGAGGAAACAUGGAUGGGGCAUGCUUUAAGUGCACUUUUUACAUUUUGAGACGCGUGAGGAGUAAGCUUUAGUGUACUUGAACAAAAAAUUGAAAUGGAAAACCAACCUAUCUAUGAGUGUUUAGGUAGGUUGGCAAUUUCUGAUAAAAUUCCUAAGUGUCCCCUAACUUGGUUUAUAUUUUGUUCCCCUAUUUCUGGAUCGAUCCAAGUGCAGGAGUAAAUCGAUCCAACUAACCUAUUUUUAAGAUCAAUUUUUAGCCAUUGGAUUAAGGGUUUUAUUCUCAUUUAAAAUCAAAAUUUUCCCAUUUUUGGAAGUAAUGAUUGCAACAGCCGUGAGAGGAUUAUUUAUUUCCUCAUCAUUUUAAGGGUGUUUGCCUCCUAAGAAAAUCCCAUCCAAAUUUUCCAAGAAAUUUUUUUUUAAUGGAUUUUUUGAAAAUGAACAUGGGUUGAUUUCUAAAAAUUUAUCUCUCAUUCUCUUAGUUUUGUGCAAAAACUCAUUUUCUUCUUGUGUGAAUUCAAGAAGAGAUUGAGAUCAAGCUUGGUGCGGACUCCAAGUGUGUUCUGAAAUAAGAAAGUGAGAAGCUGAAAGUGAAGGUAUUAGUCAAGUAGUCUUUAAAGGAUUGAUUGACUUGAGGUAGGUAAAAUCUUGUAUUCAGUUUUGAUUCUUCAUAGUGAAUGUUUUCAAUUUUAUAGUAGGCCCAUGGUUUUUUAUCUUUUUGGAAGUUUUCCACAUUAAAACUUAGUGUCAAUUAUCUCUUUCUCUCACUCUACUGUUUGAUUUAUUUUCAGUUUUUGAUAUCAUUGGAUACUUAAGCAUAUAUGUUGAAUGGUAGAUAUAUGAGCUGAAAUAAGUAUGAUUAUCCAUGGAAUAUCUUCAAUUAUUUUUUUGUUUAUUUUGGUUAAUGGUAUCUUGUAGUAAAUUAAAAUGAGUUAAGGAGAUAAUUGUUUUUUUGAAUAAAUUUUAAUGAGUAUUGAAACAUUUGCAUGUGAAUUGCAUUUUAUAAAUUGUUGGGAGAGUGUUGGUGUAUACAUACUUGCUUGUGGUUUUUAUGCUUUGUUGAAAAGUUGUUGGAAGAGAAGUUUAUGGGCAUUGAAAAUUUUUAAGGUUAGGUAAUCCUUGUUGGGAAAUUUUUUUUAGUUCAACAACACUUAUUCACUCUCUCUCUCUCUCUCUCUCUCUCCCCCUCCCCUCCUUUCUAAGUGUAGUCCAUUAUUGAGAUUUACCUUUUCAAUUGACAUCUGAGUAGGUUUUUAAAGCAAAAAUCACUUUCUUGAAUCUCAAUUAUAGAACCUCAUCAAGAGGGAGCUUCCAUUGGGAGACCACCAAUCUUAACCGAUGAAAAUUAUUCUCAUUGGAAAGUGAGAAUGCAAUAUUUUCUCAAAAUGCAAAGUGAAAAAAGUUUGAAAUGCUGUUGAAUUUGGUUAGUCUCCACCUAAGGUAUUGGAUAGAGAAGAUAGACCAACAAAUGUUAUCAAGCCUAAGUCGGAAUGAGAUAGAGGUGAUAAUGAAGCUAGUGAGAACAAUGAUAGAGUCAUCUAUUCCAUCUUUAAUGCCAUUAACACAUAUGAAUUCCAUAGGAUAGCUACAUGUACUUUGGCUAAGGAGGCUUGGGACAUCCUCUAAGUGACUCAUGAAGGAACUAAUGUUGCGAAAGUGUUCAAACUUCAGAUGUUGACCUUUAGGUUUGAGACAAUUAGGAUGGAAGAUCAUGAAAACUUUGGAGAGUUUUAUGCAAAAUUGAUGGACAUUGUGAAUUCUAGCUUUAAUCUAAGUGAGCCCAUUCUUAACUCCAAAGUGGUUUCAAAAAUUCUAAGAUCUCUUUCGGAGAGAUUUAGAGCAAAAAUCACCGUCAUUGAAAAGUCCAAGGAUGUGGAUUCCUUAAAAGUAAAUAAACUUGUAGGUUCACUCCAAACCUUUAAAAUGACUCUUGGAUCACCUAGGAAAUCAAAGAGUAUUGCCUUAAAUACCAUUAAAGAUGAGUCCUUAGGUUCUAAAGGUGAGUGUGAUGAGAAAAUGUCGGAUGGAGAAGUUGCUAGAUUUGCUAGAAAAUUCAAAAAACACAUGAAGUUCAAGAAAUAUAAGAAGUCCAAGGAAAAUGCUAAAAAAUGGAACAAUUCAAUGGGAAAAUCAAAUGUAAAAGACAAAAAGAAAGACAAGAAUGUCAAAAAGGACCUUGAGGUUGAGUGCUUCAAGUGUGGGGAAAAGAUGCACUAUGUCAUCGAAUGUCCCUAAAAAAAAAAAAAAAAAAAAAAAGAAAAAAAAAGAAAGAAAGCCAUGUAAGUCAUUUGGAGUCACACAAAAUCAUGUUAAUCAAGCAAAAAAGAAUCAAAUGCAAGUGAGGAAUGCACUAAUUUCACAGCCUUUAUGGUAAGUGUCAUUGAGGAAACACUCAAGAAAGAAGUUUUUGGUGAGUCUUGUGAGUCAAGUGACUUUGAUGGUAAUGAGAUGAGUUUUGACUCUGCAUAUGAGACUUUGUACAAGGAGUGCUUAAGUCUAAAACAGAAACAAGUUGAGUGGAAGGCUUCUAGUGAGUCUUGUGAGUCAAGUUAAGUCUCAACUUGAGACCUGUGAGGCAUAAGCUUCAGUGUACUUGAACAAAAAAUCGAAAUGGAAAACCAACCUAUCCCUUCUCAACUUGUCUACGUUCCAUUCUUCUUUGCUUCAAAGUGAUCACAAGUAUUGCUCUCUUUCCUCGGUUCCCAUAUCAUUAUCAUUUUCUUUGCUUAUCUUCAUAUUCUCAUUUCUUGCUCUUUCUAUUCAACGACAAACAUUAUUUUCAUUUUAUUCUCUUCUUGUAUCUUUACUUGUUGUACCUUUUUUUCCGUUUAAAAGUUCGUUUGAAGGAGGAAGACUAGUUUGGGGUUUUUAAAUUGAAAUGAUGAUUCUGUCAUCACUUAAACCUUGUCACAUGUUCAACAUUAUGCAUAUUUUGUUCAUUAUAACUAACAUCAUCACACAAUACAAUAAAUGUAUGACAUGUAUUUAUGAAGUAUGAUGGGUACAUUGUUGAAUUUUAAAUGUAAAGGGGUAAUAUGAAAAACACACUAUUGGUUGAAGGUAAAGUGUAAUACACUCUUUUAUUUUAUAUGUUUUAAAAUAUUUUAUAUAUUUAUUAAUUAUUAAUUAUGAAGAUUAAAUUCAAGUCUAGGCCUUGUUUUACAAUGUUUUCUUAAAUUAGUUUUGAAAUUAAAGGAAAAAGAAAUAAUGUUUUUUGGUACUUUUAAAAAUGUGUUUAAUAAGCGUUUAAAAAAAAUAAUUUGUAAGAGCAAAAAAAAACACUUGGAUAAACAAAUUUUAGUUGUUUUUAAAAUUAAUUUUUAUAUUUUGAUUUUAUAAAAAAUUUGGAAAUUCAAAUUUUCAUAAUAUUAAUUAAAUUAAAUUAAAUUCAAGCCUUUUUAAAAUAAAAAAUGGUGUUGUAAUUAAAAAUAAUUGAUUUUAGUAAUAUGAUAAUAAAAACAUAAAUUAUAUAUAUAUUUAUUAAAGAUGAUACUAUUUUAGUAUAUAAAUAUUAAUAUUUUAUUAUAGUCAUAGUUUAUUCUCUUUUCCAGAACUGAUACUUCCAUUCAUCCUUGAGGAUGUCAGCAUCUUUUGCUUAGCCGCAGGUGAAGUUUGGAUUCUCUCUUUAUUGUUUACAGUUUGAGGGGUGUGACUUUGCUUUACAGCUGUCCAUCUUUUGAUUCACAUAUGGAGAAAGCCACAGAGGAUGCAGAUGCAACAAAACAACGAAGUGGUCAAGUGUGUCAACCGGAAAGACGUGCUUAAAGCUUUCUGCAUUAAGUGGAAAAACUUAAAAAAAUAAUCUUACUUUAUUCUGUUGAUGACUCAUUCUAAUACAUUAUUACCAUUCAUAGUGGAGAAUGGAGAUCAAAUUUCGAUUUUGUCCCACUAUUUGGGCGUCGGUGAAGGAAUUGGCAGGCGCGCUUCAGUGUGCAUCGGGGCGCGCUUCAGUGUGCAUCGGGGCGCGCUUCGGUACGCGUCGAGGCGCGCUUCGGUACGCGUCGAGGCGCGCUUCAGGUACGCGUCGAGGCGCGCUGCAGGUACGCGUCGAGCCCAAAAGGCAUACGAGUCAGAGUUCAAGACAUGGAAGAGGCGCGCCUCCGGUGCGCUUUUCAGACCUGGAGGGUGGAGGGUGGAGGGUGGACGCGUAAGUUUUGAUGUAGUUGAACAAAAGAUGAAAUGGAUGCAAGUUUCAGAAAAGAAUCCAAGCCCUUUCCAAGUCCCAACUCUUUUUCUCUCGUGGACGCCCCUCGCUCUUCUCUGCUUUCCCGUGGUUGCAGUGCAGGUUCUGCUCUCUCCUUUCUCUCCUCAUUUCGUUUUCAUUCUCUCUCUCUCUCUCUCUCUUCCUCUAUUUAUUUUUUUCCCUUUUAUGAAUUACAAUUUACAACAUAAAUGUCACUUAUUUUUAAUCCCGCAUUAUUGUGAUUUAUUGGCAAAAUAAAAGGAAAAAUUACUUAGUUAUGUAUGAUUUCCAUAUUUUACAAAUUUUUUUUUGUUUGCAAUUCAUGUGUUCAAAUUACAAAAAAAAAAAAAAAGUGUAAUUAAAUUAUUGUUCUUUUUAUAUAUAACUAAAAAUAAUGCAAUUCCAUCAUUAUCCUUUUUCUCAAGUAAUAAAAAAGUAUACAAUUUAAAUAUUAAUUUAAGUGAAAAAAUACAUUAUUUAGGUGAAUUUUUUUAUAAAUUUAUUUUUAAAUAUAUAUAUAUAUAUAUAUAUAUAUAUAUAUAUAUAUAUAUAUAUAUAUAUAUAUAUAUAUAUAUAUAUAUAUAAAAUGUAAGAGCACAUACCUUGUUUAUUUGAAAAUUUUCAAGUUCAAUUUUUUAAAAUUUUAAGAUUUUAAAAAGAGUUUUUAAGAUACAAAGUAAAUUUUGUAUUUUUUAUAAGAGCUCUUAUAUUUUGUUCAGAGGUUUUUAAUUUUAAAAAUAAAAUAGAAAGUAUAUUUAAAUGUCACCUUAGUUAUUCUUAAUUAUUUUGAUUUAUUAUGAAGUUUAUUAUUUUUUAUUUGUUAUUUUGUAUAUGUUAUAAAUUAUUUUUUAUAUUUACUAGUUAUGAAAAUUAAAUUAUCAAAAGCUUCGGAAUGUCAUCCUAGGACACUAAAAUGCCUAUUCUAGGCUUUUAACUUCAAAAAAAUGUAAGGUAGAAAGGGUUGACAUCCUAUCGAAAUAUGAAACAUGUUUAGGAAUGAUUCUAAUUAAAACCCUUUUAGUCCAUGACAUUUUUUGUUAAUAGUGUUUUCAUUAAAAAGGCAUUUAAGGAAAAUUACUUAGUGUUUGUGUUAGUGUUCAAACUCUUGAAGUUGGGUUUGCUACUAAUCUUGACUUAACAAUCCAAAGUAGUAAUUGAUUAACUUAUGCAUAUAAUCUCUUUAUAAAUUAAUAUCUGUAAUCUAACAAGGUGAAAGAUAACAACUUCUCAAGAUUACCUUUAUCAUCCUUGAGUUCCAAAUCAUCCUAUAAUAUAAUUAAUUAACAUAUCCUAACUCACAACGAGCUUAUAUCAAAUUUCACUAAAGAAACCAUUAUGGUCAUAAUUUACUUAAACACAUCUCCUUAGGAUUGCCCAAGGGGACAUAAUGUCUUAAUUUCAUAAUAUAUCAUAAUGCUCAUAUUGAAAAUACAUAUUGCUAUCAAAUUUCAUCAACAGUGAUCCAAUUUAUAGGGAAUAUAUAAUUACUUUAAGAUUUCACUCGUACGUCAAAGUCAUUGCUAACUUUGUUACAAACUCAAUAUUCUCUCAAGGUUCAUAAUAGUUUAAUAAAGUCAUAACUAAUCAAUAGUCUUACGUCAUGAUUCAACAUAAGUUUUAUCUAAUGUGUAACCGAACACACUAUUGUAUUUACCAUAGGAACCUCAUCCUAGUGGGUAAGACCGGUUAUUUUUUUAAUUAGGAGGUAAUGCAUUACAACCUAUAAUGAAUUGUCUAAGUCCAUGAAUUGACCUCUAAAUAAAUCAUCUAUUUGUAAAGAACUAAUGACUUGAAUCUUCCCGUACAACUUUUAAUAUAUCAAAGUCAUGCAAAAUACAAGAAAUAUAAGUCAAAAUACUCAUAAGAUAAAAUGUAUGAAAUAAGAAUAGAUUAAAAUGCAACGGAAACUUUAUUAAAUAAAUUAUAAACUUUAAAUUUGUUGUAUCAUAUCAUACUUUUCAGGACUCUUAAUAGAUGUGUUAUUAUUCAUAUAUUCCAAAAACAGUAUCAUAAUUUAUUUUCUUGUCUAUGUUGAUCAUGACCUUAUCAAUACUAGUAACCACUUAAGCUUUACUUCUCAUUUCAUUGCAAGCCUCUCAUUAUAGUUCUUCGUGAAGGAUCUUAGAGAUCUACAUGACUUCCUUGAUGUUAAGGUUGUCCCUACUACCAAAUGUAAUGUUUCUACCUCUACAUAAAUACAUUUGGAACCUCCUACAACCUCACCAUAUAUCAUAAUCCAAUGUAGUGAACAUUCCAUUAUCAACCUUAACACCUUUGGUUCACUAUGAUGGUACUCUUUCCUAUAACCCAACGCAAUAUUGACAAGUGGUUAGAACCGAACCCUCUAAUCUUCAGCCGUGCAAAUGGCAUCUUCUUUGUUGUAAACAAGUUAUCUUAAGUCAUGCAUUAACCAACUCAUACGCAUUGUUCAAUUGCCACCUACCUACCUAUGUACCAAUCUAAUUUUUCACUCUCGUGUAUAAAACAUGUUGCUAUUGAUUUUCAUUUUGUUCACGAUAAGGUUUUUGUCGGCCAACAUUGUGCGUCUCAUGUUUCCACUCAAGACCAAGGAGGAAAAAAUCGGCGAAAUAUCGCCGAUAUAUCGCGUGUCGGCGGGUGGCGAAACGACACAUGGAGGAGAUAAGUCGGCCAGGCGAUUUUUCGCAAAAAAUCGUCCCCCUCUCUCCAGCGUGAUCUGACGGCCCAGAUCACGCCCGUGUUGAUCCAACGCCCAGAUUUGAAUCCCAACGUUAACAAAGAGAUCCAACGGCCAGAUUGCUUCCAAAUUGUGAUCCAACGGCCAAAAUUAAUUUUAAACGGUAACUUAAGCUUUCAACGGCUAUUUUGGCCCAAAUUUCACCUAUAAAUAGCCAAUUUUGCAUCAAUUUCAUCCAUUUUUGCUUUGAUUCUUCAUUUGCUCUCCUAUUACUCCAAUUUUUUCCAAGAUUGCUCAAUUAUUCAAUCAUUUUAAGGUAUGUUUGUUUGCAAUAAUUAAUUCAUGUAUUUUUAAUUAAUUAGUAUGUUUACAUUCAAUUGUAAUUAUUUUGUAUAUUUUUAUUGAAUUAAUUUGGGUUAUGAUAUAUUUAUUUUAGAUGAUUAUUUGUGAUUUAAAUUCGUAUUUAGAAUUACAUUAAACUAAUUAACUUAGCUAAAUUGUUUAAUUAAUUUAAUUAACAUAGUAAAUUAUGUAAUUAAUUUAAUUAACAUGGUUAAUUAUGGAAUAUUAAAUAUGCUCAAUAUUUUAUAUUAUCGCAAUUUAUUUUCAUAUUCAAUUAUGAUUAAUUUCAAUAUUUAGUAAAUUUGUCAUAAAAUUACAUUUAGAUUUUAAAAAUUAACUUAGGUAAUUUAUUUAAUUAGUUAAAUUAACAUGAACUACUAUAUAUGAAAUAUUAAAUAUGAUCAAUUUUUUUAUAUUAUCGCUAUUUAUUUUCAUAUUCAAUUAUGAUUAAUUUCAAUAUUUAGUAAAUUUGUCAUAAAAUUACAUUUAGAUUUUAAAAAUUAACUUAGCUAAAUUAUUUAAUUAGUUAAAUUAACAUGAACUACUAUAUAUGGAAUAUUAAAUAUGAUCAAUUUUUUUAUAUUAUCGCGAUUUAUUUUCAUAUUCAAUUAUGAUUAAUUUCAAUAUUUAGUAAAUUUGUCAUAAAAUUACAUUUAGAUUUUAAAAAUUAACUUAGGUAAUUUAUUUAAUUAGUUAAAUUAACAUGAACUACUAUAUAUGGAAUAUUAAAUAUGAUCAAUUUUUUUAUAUUAUCGCGAUUUAUUUUCAAUUAUGAUUAAUUUCAAUAUUUAGUAAAUUUGUCAUAAAAUUACAUUUAGAUUUUAAAAAUUAACUUAGGUAAUUUAUUUAAUUAGUUAAAUUAACAUGAACUACUAUAUAUGGAAUAUUAAAUAUGAUCAAUUUUUUUAUAUUAUCGCGAUUUAUUUUCAUAUUCAAUUAUGAUUAAUUUCAAUAUUUAGUAAAUUUGUCAUAAAAUUACAUUUAGAUUUUGAAAAUUAACUUAGGUAAUUUAUUUAAUUAGUUAAAUUAACAUAGAUUUAAAUUUAAGUGUAUUUUUCUUGCAAUAGAUUUAGCAUGGCUAGUGAAGGUGGUUCUGCCGUGCCAGGGCGAGAUCCGGCUUGGAAGUAUUGUUCACCAAUUGAGGGUAAUCGAAAUGCAACAAUUUGUAAUUUUUGUGGGUUGGUAAUGAAAAGUGGAGGCAUCACACGAUUCAAGUCUCAUUUAAUGCAUAAGGACCCGCAUAACAACACCAAAAAGUGUCCAAGAGUGCCGCCCGAAGUGAAAGAAGAGAUACGAUUGUUGGUGCAUGACAAACAAAAAGCAAAAGCAAAAAAAAAUGCUGAUAUUGAAGAAAUUCGUAGUCAAUUACGUGGCACAAUGGGGACGCAUCAUACACAUUUGGUAAACGAAGAUGAUGAUGAUGAAGAUGCUGAGGAAGAAGAUGUGUAUAUGUAUCCGACAGAUAUGCACCCAGAUGAGCGAGAUGCAUAUCGAUCUGCAGUUCGUGCCUCGAAAGCAUCUAAUUGGGAACGUGAACAACAUGAGAAUAUUGUAGGAAGCAAACGCAAAUCGGGAGAGUCUUCUACUGGUAUACCGUUGACGAUGCGAAAAUCACAGAGUAUGCGAUAUUCGCAUCAUUCACCCCCUAUUGCCCCUUCGCUUUACAAGUCUUCUACAGCAAAACAAAAAAAUAUCAAAGAUAUAUUCAAGGGUGGUGCAAUUAAAGAAACGAUGGGACGCUUAAUCAGCAAAUUCUUCAUUUAUGAGAGCGUCGCACCCGCAAAAGCAAAGUCUCAUCACUUCAAGAAUAUGAUUAUUGGUGCACAACAAGCAGGUAAUUACUAAUUUAUCAAAUGUUAUAUUGUGUUAUACUUUUAGUAAGUAUAGUAUUUUGUGACAUGUUUUACAUAUGAAGUGCAGGAAUGGGAAUCGAACCUCCAUCUCCAUAUGAAAUAAAGAACAAAUACUUGGAAAUGGAGUACAAAGAAAUGGAAGCUUAUGUGAACCAACAACGGGAAAAAUGGAAGACAUAUGGGUGCACAAUAAUGUCAGAUGGAUGGACAGGGCCCACGAAAUUAAGUAUUAUUAAUUUCAUGGUUUAUUCUAAAGGGACCACGGUGUUCCUUAAGUCAGUCGAUGCAUCGAACUAUAUCAAAGACCACAAGUAUAUAUAUGAGCUUUUGAAGACUAUUAUCAAAGAAGUCGGUAAGGAAAAUGUGGUCCAAAUUGUCACAGAUAAUGGGUCGGCAUUCAUGAAAGCAGGGAAACAAUUGAUGAAGAAGUAUAACUUAUAUUGGACUCCGUGUGCGGCACACUGCAUCGACUUAAUCUUUGAAGACAUCGGUAAAAGACCCAAUGUUAUCGAGGUGAUAAACAAUGCUCGCAAGAUAACUAACUUCAUUUACAAUCAUGGUUGGUUACUAGCACAAAUGAGAAAGUAUUGUGGUGGAGACAUUGUUCGACCAGGAGCUACAAGGUUUGCUACCAAUUAUAUUGCUCUUGACAGUCUUCUAAAAAAAAGGGCUGAUUUGAAAAAAUUGUUUAUGAGUGAUGAAUGGGCACAACACAAACUCAGUCGAACAAAACUUGGACGAGAAUUGGAGCAAUUAUUGUUUGACCAUACGUAUUGGGACAGAUUGACAAAUAUAGUUUCAUUAUAUGAGCCAUUAUACGUGGUGCUUCGACUUGUGGAUUCUGAAGUUGUUCCCACAAUGCCAUUUGUGUACGAGCUUAUGCACGUGAUGAAAGAGAACCUUAUUCGUCAAGGAGCUGGAGAUUGGAUGUUCAAAAUAAUACAAGAUCGUUGGCAGAAAACACUAAAACAUCCACUUCAUGCAGCAGGUACUUAAAUACUAUAUAUCUUUAUAAGUUUUACUUUGUAUUUAAGUUUAUUUAAAAAAAAAAUACUAACUCUACUAAAUUUUAUUGUAGCAUACUUCUUGAAUCCAAGAUUUCAAUAUAGGCGUGGAGUUGGUAGUGAUCCGGAACUACUUCAAGCUGUCCAUGAUGUUUUUGCAAAAUUAGAUCCAACUACUGAAUCGCUUGGUCAAUUUGGAAAUGAGGUGAAUAAAAAAUUGUUAUUUUUGUCAAUAAAACAAUAAUUUCAUUCAUCAAUUUAUUUGAACGUUUACUAACAAAUUAAAUGUUGAAUACAUAGCUUGUACUUUUUCGAGAUGCAAAAAGAGGAUUCGGUGAUCGAGCGGCAAUUGCAUCAAGGUCAACCAUGGUGCUUGGUGAGUCUUUAUAGGAAAAAAUUGAUUAUUAUUAUUGUAAGUUCACCACAUAAGUAUUUAUAUGAUUAUCAAAUUCGUUGCAGCUGAAUGGUGGUUUAUGUAUGGGAAUCAAACACCUACAUUGAGAAAGUUAGCCAUCAAAGUUCUCUCACAAACUGCGUCAUCUUCUGCAUGUGAGAGAAAUUGGAGCACGUUUGCUCUCAUCCACACAAAGCAACGAAAUCUUUUGGCUUACUCUCGAUUGGAGCAAUUAGUGUUUUGUUACUAUAAUAUGAGGCUAAAGUUACGCGAUAUGGAGACAGAAAAUGAUCGAGUUGCUGAAAAAGAUUACCUUGAUCUCCUUGACAUUUCAGCCGAGGUGGGUGAAGAAGAAGAUAAUCAGUUGUUCCAGUGGGUUAGGCCUAUACACUUGGAUGACGAAGUUGGAAAUCCUGAUCCACGAAUUGCCGCUCAUGCUCGAGAAUUUGGAGUUAAUGUUGAACGUGUGUUGUCCGAAGAAGUUCACUCUGAAAGUUUUAGCAAAGAUACUGAUGAUUCUCUUCAUGCAACAUAUUCCCAGCAAGAGAUUGACUCCACAAGUGCUGGCCAUAGUAGUAGACCUAGUGCUGCAGGUACUUCUGCUUCUGGUUACGAUGGUUCAAGAGGUGGAACUGAUGAUGGAGGUGAUAAUGGGGGAGGAGAUAUUGAUGAACAUCGACAUAGUCAAUAUCCAAUCAACCAAUUUACUUGUGAAAAUGAUUUCACACACUGCACACAGGAUGAAGACCAUGGCUCUAGAAGAGCUGGUCCAGGCAUAAGAGCUAUUGGGAGGCCUUAUAGAGGAAGAGAACGAAUGAUGGAACCAUAUAACAAGGAGUUACUUUCAGGGAGUUUUGAAUCUAUGAGUAUAGGGACUCAAUUUAGUGACUCCUCGAAUGAGGCUAACGUCUACCCUCCUCAUGUGAUGAGUUAUGGUCAACCUUCAAGUUCAAUAGAUGAAGAGUAUGGUAUGUCACAUUAUUCCCCUUCCAGACAAAUGCCAUACCAAAUUCCAUAUCAGAUGGAAGAAGGAUUUGGCGUUAACACAUGGGUGAACUUUGAGUAUCCUAUCCAUGUAGAAGCAGUAGGCAGGACUCAAGAGAUAUAUGCAUGGCAUGUUAGAAUUUAUAACCAAUAUUAUCGAGACUCAUUGACUUGGUACCAAUAUUGUCUCCAACAGCAAGCCGGGGUUCCUUCAUCUAUCAAUCCCAUUGAACCACAUCGAAACUCAUUUUGGUACUAAAGGGACAUUGCAAUGUAAUGUGUACAAAUUAUUGUUAUUUAAUGAAAUGAAGUAUUUGAUGUGACUUUAUAAUGAGAUCAAUUACGAAAUUAACAUUUCUUAUAGAUCGACAUGAUAUAAUUACAUCUAAUAUCGCAAAUUAUAUCAUAUAUAUAUCAAAUUUUUCAAUAAAACAAUUUUAAAAUGUCUAUUAUACUUCUAAUUAUAUUAUUAUGAGGUUUUUCUUACAUUUCCAUGAGUUUUUAACAAUUUUAAGCCUACCAAUAAUAUCCACCGAUAUAUCUCCGAUAUAUCCGAUAUAUCCGUAAAAUCGAAUUACCGAUAUAUCCGUGAUUACUGAUAUUUUCAUCCUUGCUCAAGACCAACUUGUUGACGCUCUCACCAAAUCAUUAUUCCAUCAAUGACUUCUUUUAUUCCUUUCCAAGAUGGGUGUUUCCAAUGGAAUCAUUAUCUUGAGGUGAAAUAUUGGGAACGAAUCAACAACUUCUCCCAACCUCGUGGAUUCCAGCUCAUGAUCCACUCAUUCACAUGAAAUGAAGUCUCUUAAUUUCAACUGCUCCCAAUUAUUCGCAAUUAAGCAUAUUGUAAUAUUCUCAUUUGUAACAAUUCCUUUCAUUUGAAUUCUGAUUCUUUGUGUAUAUAUAUUAUUGUAAAAGAUACAACAAUUUAUUCAAUUCAUUCCUUUUUCUGCAAACUUGCUUGACCCUAUUAAUGCCAUCUUACAUCCACUGUCAUUCCAUUCAUGAAAGCAGACCAUAAAAAACACUCGCUCAUAAAACAUCACUCCAAAAAAAAAAAGAAGGAAAAAUCAGUUUUUUUGCCAAAUUUACAACAAGAAUAUUUGUUUAUUUGGCAAGCAGAGGGACUGGAGAGCAAAAUCAGCCUGAAGUCACGGGUCAUGAAAUAGGAUGCCUGGCCUGAAAAAGGCAUGUGAAGCCAGUCCAAAUUCCGAGUAGAAAAAAGGUCUCCAGUGAGGGUGGGGACAUGGAGGCUGGAAAUUGUAAUAAUCCCAAGAGUAUGUUGGAAUUUUUAUGUGUGGACUUACAUAAUUAAUUUGAUAAUGUCAUAAAUCAGUGUUAUUUAUUUUUGCAUUGUGGUCCAUAAUGGGACUGGACACAUAUUGUUGCUUAAUUUUUAUGGGCUCACCCUAAUUCACUUGAUUAGCCCAUUAAGUCAAGUGGUGGUCCAAAUAAUGUGUGUGAUAUAUAUAUAUAUAUAUAAAAGAAAAGGAUGGGCUCACUGUGUGGCUGGCUCCCUACUCUUCCUCCUUUGGCUGAAAGAGAGCACGCACUCUCGUCAUGGACUGAAUCUGGGUGUAGAAGGGAAGAACUCAUUAACCCGUAAUUCUCGCACUAUCAAGCACUGGAGGAGCUUCCUGAAUACUAGAAAAGAGCAAGAAAUGGCCUUUCACGGAAUUAACCAAGGUGAACGUUUCCGUUUUUGCCGUUCAAUGCAUGCUUAAAUGUCAACAUGUGAUCCUAUAUUGUUUAAAUUUUCUUCAAUUGGUAUCAGAGCAAGCAUGAUUGACAUUUGAGCUGCAAUUUUGGGUUAAUUUUUGGGUUUCCCGUUUCCUGUGGUGGAAGCCAUUUUUUUGGAUUUUUAUUUCUCGUUUGAUGUUGAUUCUCUGUUUUCAAGCCCGAUUGUUGUUGGAAACUUGUAGAGAAUAUUGUUUGGAGCAAAACCCAUCAUUUUAUUUGAUUUUUGGAGCUUGUUUGGUGGGAUUUCGAAAAUUAAGGCUUGUUUGGUUCUUGCUAUUAUGCGUUUUUUUGUGCAAUUUUUGGGUUUGGAUUGAAGAAUUGAUGUUUGAGGAUGGAAAUCUAUGUAUUUUUGACGAAAAAUGCAUGAAAUUUUGGGCGGAAAAUUUUUUUUUUCUUCUCCAGAACCAGGCCGUGCUCAGCUAGAGGAGAAGAUGAAUAGUGAUGUGAUGAAUCAUGACGUCAUAAAAAAAAAAAAAAAAAAACCAAUUUUUUUUUUUUUUGUUGCCUUGGUAUUCUUGGAUUGAUUGUGCAUAUGCUAGAAUUAUUAUGCAUUUGUUAAAUUUGACUUUAUUGGGACAAUUAUUAUUAUUAUUGUUCUUUAUGGUAUAAUUUUUCCUUAUAUUAAUAAUGUUGUCCUAUGUCAAUUUUGUUAAAUAUUUCAAUUUAUUGAGGCAAUGAAGCACACUUGUGUGAUUGCCUAUUGCAAUUCCAAGUGUGUGAUUGAUUGUGCAUAUGCUAGAAUUAUUAUGCAUUUGUUAAAUUUGGCUUUAUUGGGACAAUUAUUAUUAUUAUUGUUCUUUAUGGUAUAAUUUUUCCUUAUAUCAAUAAUGUUGUCCUAUGUCAAUUUUGUUAAAUAUUUCAAUUUAUUGAGGCAAUGAAGCACACUUGUGUGAUUGCCUAUCGCAAUUCCAAGUGUGUCAAAUUGUGAAAAUUAAGAUAUUUUGAAUUUUAUUCAUGACAAUAGUGAACAUAUGUGUGGUUGCCUAUCGUGAUCCUAUAUGUGUCAAAUUGUCUUUGUUGAGAUAUUUUAUCUCCCUUUUUUUAUUGUUUUAUUAUUGUGAUAACUAAGGUCCAUACGGGUAUUGUGAUUGUCCUAUCGAUGAUUAUAAUAUUUGGUAGGAUAUUUGGAUUGGUGAAGGAAAUUAAUUUUAUAUUAUGACUCAUACUAAUUUUCUUUGCCCUUUCGGUAAUAAAAUUAGUGCAUCUUAGUUGUGAUAUUUAAUUGAUUGUCCUUAUUAAUUGCAUAGAAUCACAUGUUGACAAAUUAAGCAUGCAUUUAACAGCAAAAUUCAAUCCGUUACCUUGGUUCGUGCUUUGGGAAACCAUUUCUUCUCUCCUUUGAUAUCCAAUAAUCUGCUUUCCGGGUGCGUGAUGGUCCGAGAAUGAGCGAUCAUAUUUGGUAGGAUGCUUGGAUUGGUGAAGGAAAUUAAUUUUAUAUUAUGACUCGUACUAAUUUUCUUUGCCCUUUCGGUAAUAAAAUUAGUGCAUCUUAGUUGUGAUAUUUAAUUGAUUGUCCUUACCGCCGUGGAAUUUUCAAAAUUCCAAGCUGUUGCUAAAUUGAGAAAUUCUGGAAACUAGCAAAUGCAUGAUUUUGUAGUAACAUGCAUAUUGCUUAAUUUUGCUAUUUUCCAACUACUAGCAAUCCUGGUAUUACUCUGCAAUUGUUUGCCAUCAAACCCUCUUACUGGAAUAAUUUUGAGGAAUGUUUUGAGUCUUUCAAUGUGCAUAUGACUAUGCACAUUUUGGACUGGGCUUUGAGAGUUGAUAAGCCAAGUAAAUUUGAGUUCUUCCAUAUUGUAGCACAAACGCCUAGGUCAUAUUUCUAGGCAAAGAUUAGAGAGAUUGGUUAGAGAUGGUGAGUAUUAUGGGAGAUGUGAUGAGACUGGACGGAAUUCUGGACCAUUCACUAAGUUUCUAUUGGAAUGCGGCAUUGAUGCUAGAUAUACAAUGUCAGGCACUCCUCAACAGAAUGGGGUUGCAGAAAGGAGGAAUCGCACAUUGUUGGAUAUGGUGAGGUGCAUGUUGUCUAAUUCCUCCUUACCAGAAUUUCUAUGGGGUGAAGCCUUAAGGAAUGCGGCAUAUAUUUUGAAUCAAGUGCCCAGUAAGUCUGUGCUUAAGACACCUUAUGAGCUAUGCGCAGCGGAAGCGUGGUUAGGCCCUAUAAUCCAUAGUUAAAGAAACUUGAUCCUAAAACCAUUAUUGGUUUCUUUGUUGGCUAUUGCAUUGGAUCAAGGGGUUCCAGAUUUUAUUGUCCAUCUCAUACCACCAGGAUCAUUGAGUUAGACAGGGUUGUAUAUUUUGAAGAUGUGAGCUCUGUUGAUGAAAGAUCUAGUGGUAUCUGAAGUUUGAUAGUAUUAUCACCCAAAAUGACUUUAAAGAAAAUACAGUUGACAGAUGCAUAUAUUUGAGGGUUAGUGGGAGUAGUUACAUAUUUCUUGUUUUAUAUGUUGAUGAUAUACUACUCGCAUCAAAUGAUCCUGACUUGUUGAUUGAGACAAAGCACAUGUUGUCAACCCAUUUUGACAUGAAGGAUCUUGGUGAGGCUUCUUAUGUCUUGGGCAUAAAGAUUCUUCGUGAUAGGACUAAUGGAGUGCUUAAAUUGUCUCAAAGAGCCUAUAUUGAAAAGAUAUGAAGAGGUUCAAUAUGCACAACUGUAGUUUGAUAUUGCUUUUGUUGUGGGCAUGUUGGGAAGGUACUUGAGCAAUCCUGGGAGUCAACAUUGGAAUGCAGCUAAGAAGGUCCUUAGGUAUUUGCAAGGAACUAAGGACUUAAUGUUGACAUAUCAGCGCACCAGCUUACUUGAUGUAGUUGGGUUUUGUGAUGUUGAUUUUGCUGGUUGCAUAGAUGAUAAGAAAUCCACUACGGGCUAUAUUUUUAUGAUGGCAGGAGGAGCUGUAUCUUGGAAAAGUGUCAAGCAGACACUUACAACAUCCUCAACUAUGGAGGCAGAGUAUGUGGCAUGUUAUGAGGCUUGUUGUCAUGCUAUGUGGAUGCAGAAUUUUGUUUCAGCUUUAGGAGUUGUUGACUCCAUUUCUAGACCGCUGAAAUUAUUUUGUGAUAAUUCCGCAGCUGUUGCUUUCUCCAGUGAACAAUGAACAAAUAUAAUUAUGUGCAUAUCAAGGAUCAGGGUAAAUCAAUCACAUAUAGCUAAUGAAUCAAUCAAUCAGUCAAUCAAUCAUGAAGUCUCAUAUGUAGGGCCCCCACCAAAGCCCAUUUAUUUUUGCAUGAAUUAAUUCCAUAAAUUCCAUCAUUUGGAAUUACGGAAUUUGAUUUUUGCUUAUUUCAAAACAUUUUAAAAAAUAGAGGUGUGAAAAUUGCUUGCCAGAAAGAAAGAUGGAAGCCAGAUUUUAUUAAAAAUGGGAGGAUUUUUGGGAUCUAAACAUUUUAAGGAUGAAAAAUGGGGAAGUUGGGAUAGUUUGAGAAUUUGGAAUUUGGAAAAAACAUUUGAAAAUGGGGUUAGGAAAUUAUCUUUAAAAUAGCAAUAAUAAUAAUAAUAAUAAUAAUAAUAAUAAUAAUAAUAAUAAUAAUAAUAAUGAAAUGUAGAAAACCACAUGGUCAAGGGUUGCAUGCCAAAGGUGGCCAUGCAAGUCAUAGAUAAGGGUGGGUCCAGGUUGCCAUAGUUGGGUAUUGGAUAUGGACUUCAGAUCUUUCAUCCUUGGGUUGACUUUUCUGACUCUUCAUUCAAAACACCUGAUGUGGCAUCUCCUGCUUUGUUUCUAUCAGCAUCAUCUCAAGAUCGCAGGUGACUUUAGGAUUAAUCUCCUUCUCUAAAGGAAGCCUUUUAUUCGAUCUGCAAUAGCCGCCGGAGAUGGGAAGGCCUUUAGAGGAUUCAAGAUGACGCCAUCUGUAAAUCUGUACUCCUUGGCUUCUUUUGUGCUUAUGAAGAAACCACGAUCCGUGUUUUGGUUGAUCUUCUCGAAGCUUUGACCGAUGUGGUAGGAGAGAUACCCAAAGGAGGAUUUUGCUGCGUGUUCAUCCAUUGAACUAAGCUCAGGCCAUGGACUGCCUAGGGAUCUUUCAUGCAGACAUUUCCUUCUGAUGAUGUCAUAGUGAUGAGUUUGUCCACUGAGAAAACUUUUGGGAGGUCCAUCUUCAAAGGUCUCCUGGGUGCAAGCAACCGUGGAGUCGUCUAAGAAACUGCACUCAUCUGCGUUCAAGAAGCUCGACCUCUGAAGCCUCACUCUCCCUCACGGUGCUCGUCAUCCUUUGCCUUGAGAGGCUUCAUAACUUCCCAUGUGAAGUCGGGUCAUCUCUUUGAAAGUGCCCGUAUGCAGCCGUCUUCAAGAACCUGCCAUUGCCACCCCUCUUGAGAUCCAGGCUAAUGGCAAUCAUUCCAGGCCUGAAGUCAAAGCUCUCUUUCACAAUCUUGAGAAUCUCCUUGUCUGGCAUCUUUCCAGUGGCAUGCGUGUCAACAAAUACGGAUAAAGGCUCGGGCACACUAAUAGCAUAUGAGACCUACACGGUGCACCUGCGGGCAAGCCCAUUGUGGAGAUCUUUCUGUCAUCUGGACCUCUCUGUAUGCAUACAGAGAUAAAGGAACAGAAUUCUGCAGAAAAUUGAUCAACAGAUGCCAGAUGCAUAAGGCGGUGGCUGCUCAACAAUGACUUCCAUAAGUUCAUAAAAGCUGGUCCAUACUUCCCCUUACUCUGGUAGAGUUUCUCCAACUUUAGAAGCUCUACGAACCCAAGUUACUGAUUUCUUGCCAUAAAUCAACAAAAAGACGCUCCAAAAGCAGUGAACUAAGCCCAGAGCCAGUACCGCCACUAACAGCAUUGAAAACAAGGAAACCUUGGAGAUCAGUACAAUUGUCAGCCAGUUUUCGGAUCUGGUUCAAGCAUAGCACAAGAUCCAAAAACGAGAAUGUAACCACAACAGAGAAGAAACCAUGGAGGCAUAGCAUGAAAGAAAAUAGGUAAAAGUAUCUUCAAAAGGGGCUUCAAUGGUUGCUUGGCGUUCCGGUGAUGGCGGAGGCGCUUCGCCGCCGGCGGCAAGCCGCCGACGUCAUUCAAGGACAGCUUUGCUUGCUCUUUCCAUGAACCGGUUUCUGUGAUUUUCAAGUAUUGAAAGAAUAAUCCCUUGAGUGAUGGUGGUGAGAACAAUGUGGAAAUCUAGAGAGAGAAAUAGGUUUUGAAGCUGUAGUCCAAUGAGUAUAUGCAGAGGAGAUAUGUGACGUGGGUAUGGCAGAUAAUGGAGAGAAGGUGUUUUAGUGGUGUGGUCAGAUGGGUAUGAACAAACGAAGUGGUGAUAGAAUGAAUAGGAAAGCAUGCAUGUGGUUAGUAUGGGACAUGGGUAUGAAGGAGUGUGGGUAUCUAUGGAUGAUUGGGUAGAGUCUGUUAAAGGUGGGUCUGUGCAUGGGAUAAAAGAGAAAGGCGGGUCAGAACAGGGACUAUAUUUACAAUGGUGGGUAUGGUGUGGAAUCGGAAGUUGGAAGUUAGUGGAAUGAGUGGUAUGAAAUUCUAAAAGAUGCUUGAUGGGCAUUUUCGGUAUGAUGAUGAACCAUUCUGCAGCCUGACUUGUUGCCGACGUGAUUACUGCCAGUAUCUUGCCUCAGUGCCUCUGGGAUGCUAAAACUAGUGAAACCAGAAUAAAUACCCACAAUGCCCGAGUCACCAUUGAAUAGGAAAGCUUCUUUCAUAAAAUAUCCAUUCAUGCACAUUAUGUUUCCCUCAUUGGACCUUCAUUUCCACAACCAAAAACUCCAAAAUUUCCGCUACCGAAUCGCCAAUAAAGAGAGCCACUUCAACAGUAAAAUCAUUAGAUCUGAGAUACCCCGUGUCAAAUCCUGAAGUAAUAUCCUCACAUCUCUUGGUUGAGUUUAGGUAGUUCUUCAAGCGGAGAACAUAUUGCUUACUCCCCUAGGCAGAGGUGAGAAAACUAACAUGCCCCAUGGUCGGAGUACCAGGAACAAAGGAAAACAAACAAACAAAGCACCAAUAAUAGGAGCAAAACAAACUCAUACAAGUCUCAUUUCAUACAAUAAUCAAUGAGCUCAUAUCAGGGUGGAUGAAAUCAAACGAGCAUCAAAUAAAAGAUGGAACACGGUUACAGGAAUGUUUCAUGAAGAAAUCAAAACAGGAGCAAACCAAACUACAGGAAAAUCAUUAGCAAAACAUGAACAUGCCCACCCCCAAUCAAUAAACAUCAUCCAAAAUCAACAGAAACAGAACAGAAAAGUAUACCAGUAGAAGCUAAUAGGGAAACCACAAUGACAGUACCUGAAAAUGCUUCUCUUCAGCAACAAAUCUCUAGAAUCUCUGUCAAAACCAUGCUCUCUCGUUCUUCUCCAGAAACUUCCUCUGUUUCUUUUGCUCCUUCUCUCUAAAGCUCUCUGCUCCAGCUUGCUCCUCCUCUCUCCCCCCAGAAAACUCCUCUGUUUUUCUCCUCUUCCUCAAAAGCACUCUGGAAUCCUCUCUAUCCCCCUCCACCAAGCAAAGGAUCCUCCCAAAAUAUCUCCAGGCCGCUCCUAACGGCCUCACACAGCUGCCCUUCUCCCCUGCCGCUGCCAGACGACACCUCCCCAUAACAGAAAACCUUUUUCCCUUCUAGAAGAUUCUUUCCCUUUACAGGUGUCUUCCCUUGAUUAGUCCAUCAAUUCCACUAUAGUGAUCCCAUAUUGACUAAUCCGGGAGUGACAUGUGGCCAGAAUGAGCUGCAUGAAAUAGCACCCAAAUAGGGGUCUAUAGUAAGAUUCUAACCCCUAGUUUAAUAUUUUAGAUUCAUUGAUUAAUUUCAAACACAUUAGAUAUAUUUUUUUUGGAAAACCCCAAAUCUAGAUUAGGGUUAGAUUAUUUUUUAAUUCGUUUUAAUAUCAAAUAGUGAAAAUUUAAUAUUUUGAUUUUAGCAUUGGAAUUUGGGAGAUCUUAAGUUUUAUUAGAAAAAAAAAAAUUCUUGGAAUAUUUCGAUUUUAGGUUAGGGUUAAUUAAAAAAAAAAAAAAGAAAAAAAAAAACGCGUGUGCACAGCGCUGGAAGGAAGAAAAAUAAAAAUAAAAAAUGGGGGGCGUACCGUGUACUGUGUUACUGGAAGCAUGGAACCAAGAAAAAAGAAAAAAAAAAAAACAAAAAAAACAAAAGGUGCGUGUGCCAGCCUGCCAAGAAGCCCCUUAUAUAUAUAUAUAUAUAUAUAUAUAUAUAAUGAAUAUGAUGAUGGCAAUGGAAAAAAAAAAACUUGCUUUUUGGUUUGGUGGUUUGGUGUACCCGAGACAACUAGGUAAUGGUUUAGUGGCUUUUGAAUUGGUUAAUUUAAAAUAAUAAUAUUUAGUUUUAGAUUAAUGAAUAAGAUAAUAGUAAUAAUGGUUUUUUUUUUUUUAAAUAGAAUGAGAGAUUUAGCAAAAUAUAUAUAUAUAUAUAUAUAUAGAAUUUUAUAAUGAAAUAAAAUUGUAAUUUAAUUAAAUUAGUAAUGUGUUAUUAGAAACAAAUUGGGAAUUUAUUAGUUUUAUUUAAAUAAGGAAUGAAUUAGUUAAAUUAUAAAUAAAUAGUAAUAAUUGUUUCUCUUAUGUUAUAUUAGGUGAAGAGUAGAUUAUAUUUUUUUCAGAAUUAUUCUUCUCCCAAGCUUUCAAGGACAUCUUUUGAGGUAAGGGAAGUUAAUGCAAUAUUUAUAAAAUUAAAUUAUUUCAUAUGUUAUUUUGAAUUGUGGAAAAGAAAAUGAUAUUUUGUUACCAUGCAUGGAUCAAAUUGUUUUGCACUAAAUGUUAUGUUGGAAUAUUUUGUUUUAUUUAUGACACAAAAUGUGGAGAUAUUAUGUUGUGUAAAUUUGAAUACUCGAACAAAAACAUUACUCUGGUUUAUUUGGCCCUUGUCAACGGGAUAUAAUAGUUGACUAUUCGGCCCUGUCAACGGGAUAUAAUAGUUGACCUUUACAUUUCAUGGUGGAAAUGUAAUUGAUUUGGACCCCAACCUCUAGGGGUUUGGUUAGAGGUUACUAGUACUAGUAGUGUUUGGUUCCGUCCACCAGGAACAAUUUGAGGCUAGCCACCCAUUUGAAAAGUCCCACCUAAUUGGGCAUUUGAUAUUUGAUAACCAGAGUAAUGAAACUUGAAUGAAUUUGAUAUGAAAUUGGUUGGUUGAAUUUUGAAUAUAUUGGUAUUUUUGGAACUCUGAUAUUUGAUGAGAGAAAAAAAAAUUGAUAUCUCCUAUUUGAAAUGAAAAUAUUUGAUCCAUGAAUUGCAUUAAUAUUCCUUAUUAGGCUGUGAGCUCAUUCCCAAUUGUUGAAAAGUUUUCAGGUACUCUUAGUUCGGGUGAGGAGUGAUGGCUAGGCUGAGGAAUGGUCAUCAUUAGGAUUUGACUUAGGAUUUUAUGUUGGAUUUUGUUUAACUAUUAGUUAUGUUUAUUUGGAUCUUUUGGUAUUUGGAAGUUAUUUGGAAAUUGAAUUUUGAGGAUUUUAGAUUUUGUUUCGCUACUCUGAACAGGUAUUUGGUAAUUGGUAACAUCCAGUUACAAUAUGAUUGUUUGGGUCAGAUUAUACUUUAAGCCUUCGGGUUUGAGGUGUGAAAUGACCGUCACGCCCUUGGAGUGGGUCUUGGGGCGUGACAGUCAAAGUUGAAUGAAAAUUAUUCCACAUGAUACAGAGCAUAGCAUAGACUUGGUCCCCCUGUCAUCGUAUCUCCAUAUCCAGGACAAUUUGAUUACUUAUCCCGGAAGUAUCAUCCAGAAGACUCCAGGGUUUAUCACCAAUACAUCACAUGCACCCAUAAUUUUCUUCGGCGGACGUAGGCAGAACAGGUUUAUCAUCUCUGUAUGCAUGAUUUUCUUCGACAACCGCGUAGUUGGAGGUCUUUUUUUAAGUCUUCUUUCACUUCUAUAUAAGAACAGAGCAUCACAUGGUUAUCAAAACACCAUUCUCUACCUCUCUCUCAGACCAUGAAACUCCACUGCUCAUGGAUGGUGGUACUGGCCACACUAUGUGUAGCUCCGCUGUGCUUCGCGAUGGAGCCCGUCUCCGAGUCGGAUAAACUCGGAAGCUUGCCUGGACAACCACAUGUCAGCUUCCAACAGUUUGGUGGAUACGUAACCAUUGAUGAAAAGCAAGGCAGAGCUCUUUUUUACUACUUUGUUGAAGCAGUAACUGAUCCUACUGCCUCAAAGCCUCUUGUUCUCUGGUUAACUGGAGGUAAUUAGUAUCAAAUUCUUCUUCUCUGGCAUCUUAUUAAGGUAAGUAGAUAAAGUUAGAAUCAUUUCAUUCUUGGUCUCUGAGUAGUGGAAUUUAUUUUGUAGGACCUGGUUGUUCGUCCCUAGGAGGGGGGGCUUUCAUGGAACAUGGCCCUUUUAGGCCCCGCGGGAACACUCUGUUCAGGAAUAAGCAUAGCUGGAACAGAGGUGUGUUGUAGAUUUUGGACAAAGUUGUUUUCAAUUUCAAUCAAGUGUGAUAGAAUUUAUUAGUAUUUAGGGCACUUUGCUCAAUUUUUCUCGACUAUGAUAUUAAUUAAAUUACUAAAAUGAUGAAAUUUACCUCUGAAAUUCUUCUGUCACAGAGGCAAAUAUGUUGUAUGUGGAGUCACCAGCUGGAGUUGGGUUUUCUUAUUCUCGUAAUAAGUCCUUCUAUGAUGAUAUAAAUGAUGAAGUCACAGGUUCAUUUUUUAUCCCCUUUUGUCAAUGAUUUCAACUAAAGUUGCUUAACAUUUGUCUUCAAACGUACUGAUAUUUGGAUGUUUUUCUUAAGCACGAGACAAUCUCGCAUUCUUGGAGGGCUGGUUCAUGAAAUUUCCGAAGUACAGGAACAGAGAAUUAUUCAUUACAGGGGAGAGUUAUGCAGGUAAUUUUAGUGAAGACCUGUUAUUCAGGUUAAGACAAUCAUUUGAAUUCAUGGUGGAUUCAUCAAUUUUUAUUUUCUCUUCCUAUUUUAAUUGAAGGUCUCCUUUUAAUUUUAUGUUAGGUCACUACGUUCCGCAACUUGCACAGCUCGUUAUUAAUUCCGGCAAGAAUUUCAAUUUGAAAGGAAUCCUUGUGAGUAGAGGAAAAAGAAAAUUUGCAUUAAGUACACAUUCUUAAAAUAAAUGGUUGGGCUAAAACUGAUAAUUGAGCUCGAUUUGAUGGCUGAAUGCAGAUUGGAAAUCCUCUUCUAGAAUUCGAUACUGAUAUAAAUGCCCAAGGAGACUUUUUCUGGUCCCAUGGAUUGAUUUCAGAUUCUACACAUGCACUUCUCACGUCCACCUGCAACUAUUCCCAAAUUAUGCGAUGGGUUUAUAAUAUCAGCGAGUCUCUGUCGCCCGAGUGUUACGAGGUAUAUAACAAAUCUGCGGGAGAAAUUGGUGGAUCAGUUGACCCAUUUGAUGUUCUUGGGGACAUAUGUUUAUCAUCGGUAAGGUUUCAUUUCUUCAAUCCAGUUGGUGGGCAGAGGGAAGGAGAAAAAAAAAGACUUGUUUGUACUUGACUUUGAUGGUAAUAUUUGGGUUUGACUCAUGCAGGAAGAGGUCUGCCUAACAGAUGAAGUGGACGUGUAUCUAAACAGGAAAGAUGUGCAGAAGUCUCUCCAUGCCCAGCUUGUGGGCACGCCCAACUGGACUUUAUGCUAUCCGUAAGGAUUCCACACAUUUCCAAUUUACUCUAUGGACGGGUUUACUUUAUUUAAGGGGAAAGGAAAGGAAGGGAAUCAUUCCAUUUCCUCUCUCCUCAUCCGUGGGAAAUCGAUUUCGAUUCCGGAUUUCUUGGAUCUGUUGUUUUAACAUUGUUCUGUAUUGCAGGGAUAGUGCCCACUUCUUGAGAGACGCUGUGAUUCCAUCUAUUAAUGUUGUGGAAUGGCUUGUUUGGUCUGGGAUCCGCGCCUCUGUUUACAGGUAGGUUCCAUUCGUCUGAUGAUAUGACAUCUGGAAAUGUUGGGUUUUUAUUUACAAUUACGAAAAUAACAAUUAAAAUUGCAGCGGAGAUCAAGAUUCAAGGAUCUCCCUAAUUGGAACCAGGUCUUUACUGGAGGGAUUGGCAAAGAAGCUGAAGCUGAAAACAACCGUGCCUUACAGAAAUUGGUUCGAGAAGAAACAGGUUCACAUAUGAUCAUUCCACAUACUAAUUGAAAUUGAAGGUGAGACAAAUUAAAAAUAAGUGACCGUAAUGACCAUGUUUUCCACUUUUCCUUUCUUCUUCAGGUGGGUGGGUGGACGCAAGUGUACGGUGAUAUCCUAUCUUUUGCGACCAUCAGAGGAGGUUCUCACACAGCACCCAUAUCACAACCGACGAGAUCACUGGCGCUGUUUACGGCAUUUCUAGAAGGAAAGCCCCUCCCAGAUGCAUGAAACUCAUCAAUUUCAUGGUUGAAUAAAUAAGUUGGAGGGGAGGGUGUUUUAUCUCGCCAGCAAAUGUCACAUCCUCUGUGUAUGGAUGUGUUCCAUUUAUAUACAUAUAGUGGAAAAAUAAUUGUAUCAUGUAAUUUGAAUUUGGGUGUAAAAGUUUUAAUAGUCUACACGAAGGUGCAAAAAUUUGUGAUUUAGUCAUUUUUUAAUAAUAAAAGAAGUAAUGAUUUUUUUUUUUACUAUGAAAAUAAUAAAUUUAAAUCAUUGGUGGGAUGCAAGUUAAUUUAAUUUUUCAUUUAUUUUUUACUUGCAUGAUUCACUUAUUGAGGAGAAUAAAAGGAAAAAUUACUCAGUUAUGCAUGAUUUUCGUAUUUCAUACCUUUGAAAUAUUACAAUUUUUUAUUUUUAUUUUUUCUGAUAACCAAAACCAUAGACAUAAAAAAAAAUAAAACUAAAAUUUUAAUGUAAUUUGACACUCAAUAUAAUAUCUACAUCUAUAAAGUGCAUCAACACUUCAAAAUUCACUAAUCAAAAGAAAAGUUACAACUUAAAACAACAUUUCAAUUGCGGUUGCAUUUACUAAAAAAACCCUAAAAAUUGAUACGAUUUAGUCACUAUCAUUUUUUCAAGUAAUAAAAAUUAUACGAUAUAAUUAUUCUUGUUUUGUAUGUAGGAAAGAAAAUACAAUUUAGUUAUUAUUACUGAAAAUUUUGUGGAAAUAUUAUGUAGUUUAGUUAUUAUUUUUUGAAAAAUAGUAAAAAAAAAAAAGGAAAUAUUUAUUUAAAUAAAAUUUUGAUGAAGUCUAUUCUUCUUGUAUUUUCCAUUUUUUAAAAUUCUUUUAUAUAUUUAUUAAUUAUGAAUCUCCUUUUCCCCUUUAAAAACCUUUCAAAGAACUUUAAAGAUCUUGGAGAAAUUUGAAAACCUUCUAACAAAGGAUUUGAACCUCCCGUGGUCCUCUUCUCUUAAUUGAGAAUUUAGGAUUUCCCUAGUUCAUAAAGAUUGAGGGGAUUUUCUAUUGUCUUAGGUUAUGUUUGGUUCUUAGAAGGUUUAAAAACAAAUACAAGAGAAAAAAAAAAAAUGAAAGAUAGAAGAAAAUGUAAGAAAACAGAGUAGAACAGAGUGUUUUUGGAAUCUGGAAAUCUGGUGUGUAUUCCAUUAAUCAACUUAAAGGAAGAAGAUGCAUAUAUACAAAGUAUUGGUUAGCCUAUUCUAGGAAUCUAUGUGCAAAUGUAUCAGUUACAAUCAAUCAAAAAUAAUCUUCUAUAUACAAUCAAAUAUCAUCCUCAAAUUACGGGAUCCUUGAUUCCUUUCCCAUAAUACUCUCCCUCAAGUUGGAGUGUGUAUGUCAAGAACGCCAAACUUGUUGAGAAGGGAAUGAAAAAUUGAUGAAUUGAGUGGCUUAGUGAACAAAUCAGCAAGCUGGCAAGACGAUGGAACAUGAGCAGUUACUAUGGCACCUGAUUGAAUUCGUUCUCGAACAACAUGACAAUUGAUUUCUAUAUGCUUGGUACGUUCAUGGUGAACUGGAUUAGCAGCAAUAUGGAGUGCUGCUUUACUAUCACAGAAUAGUUUGGCAGGUUGUGAGUGUUCUACCUUCAAGUCAUCCAACAAAUACUUGAGCCAUGUAAGUUCACAUGUAAUGGAAGCCAUUGCUCGAUAUUCUGAUUCAACUGAUGACCUUGACACUGUUGUAUGUUUCUUGGUUUUCCAUGAAAUGAGAGUUCCUCCAAGAAAAAUACAAUAUCUAGUCACAGAUCGUCUUGUGAUCGAACAUCGAGCCCAAUUUGCAUCACAAAAUCCUCUUAGUAGCAAAUUUCCUUUUGCAGGAAAAUAUAAUCCUUGUCCAGGUGCACCUUUAAGAUAUCGCAGAAGAUGAUGAACAACAUCCAAAUGAGGCUUUCUUGGUUCUUGCAUAAACUGGCUUAAAAUGUGAACUGAAUAACUUAUCUCUGGCCUUGUAAUGGUAAGAUAAAUGAGUUGUUCGACCAAUCUUCUGUAAGUGGAUGGAUUCUUCAAUAAAUCUCCUACUGUGGGCAGGAGUUUAUUAUUUUCUUCCAUAGGUGUCGACAAUGGUUUGGCCCCAAGCAAGCCUGCUUCAUCUAAAAUAUCAAGAGUGUAUUUUCGUUGGGAUAUUGAAAUACCAUCAGUAGAACGAGCAACUUCAAUACCAAGGAAAUAUCGUAAUUGACUGAGGUCCUUGAUGCGAAAUUUGGUGUGGAGAGACUCCUUAAGAGCUGUAAUUACAUUCUCAUCAUUGCUAGUGAUGAUCAUGUCAUCUACAUAGAUGAGCACAGCUGUGAAAGAAUUACCAGAGAUCUUUGUGAAAAGUGAAUAAUCAACCCUUGAUUGAUAGAAACCAUCUUGUUGAAUGGUGGCAGAAAAUUUCUAAAACCAUCUACGGGAGGCUUGUUUAAGUCCAUAUAAUGACUUGUUGAGUCGACAUACCAUAGGUGUCUCCCCUUGUCGACGAAAUCCAGGCGGCAAUUGCAUAUAGACUUCUUCAAGUAAAUCACCAUGGAGAAAGGCAUUUUGAACAUCCAUUUGGUGAAGUGACCAAUGUUGGACAACAGCUAUAGCAAGUAAACAUCGAACUGUAGUUAACUUAGCCACAGGAGAAAAGGUCUCCUUAUAGUCAAUCCCUUCGCGUUGAGUGAAGCCUUUCGCCACCAACCGAGCUUUGUAUCGCUCAACUGUGCCAUCAGAGUUAUAUUUGAUCUUAUACACCCAUUUGCACCCAAUUGGACGAUGACCGAAAGGGAGAGGUGUGAGUGUCCAAGUGUGAUUUUGUUCAAGAGCAUGGAGUUCUGCAACCAUAGCUUACUGCCAUUUUGGAUCCAAUACUGCCUGUUCAUAAGUUGUAGGUUCCACAAGAGUGGUGAUGGCACAAACAAAAUUCUGAUAUUUUGGUGAGAGUUGUGCAUAAGAAAUAUACCGAGUCAAAGGGUGACACGUACCUGACAAGAAAGAAGAUUGGUUGGAAGCAACCUUGGCGGUGUGGUAGAGAUGAAAAUUCCGGAGUUGGACAUUUGGUUGCUUGAUGCGGUCAGAACGACGAGUAAUAGGAGGUGGAGGUGACACAAUGGUGUCAAGAUCAAGUGUACGUUCAUUAGAGAUAGACUCAAGAGAUGAAAGCAAGGGUGUUGGCUAAUCAUCGGCUUGUGGUUUGGUUGUCUCUGUGGUUAUGGGUUCAUAUGAGGUUUGUGGUAAAGGGAGAAUGACCACAUCAUUUUGUUCUUCUUGUGGAUUAGUGUGGAACGGAAAUAUGUGUUCAUGAAAGACAACAUCUCAGGAAGAAAAGAAUUUAUUAGUUUCAAGAUCAUAAACCCGAUAACCCUUUUGACCAAGAGGAUAACCAACAAAUAUGCAACGAUGAGCUCUUUGAUCAAAUUUAUGUGUGGGAAAGAGAUUGGUGGCAUAACAAAGACAUCCAAAAGUUCGUAGAUGAUGAUAUGAAGGUAGCUUGUUAUAGAGAAGUUGGUAUGGUGAUUUGUGAGAAAGAAGGGGUGUAGGUAAGAGAUUGAUUAAAUAGCAAGCCGUUUGAAUACUUUCCCCCUAAAAUUUUAACGGCAAGUUUGCUUGAAAACGAAGAGCUCUUCCCACAUUUAAAAGGUGAUGAUGUUUCCUCUCAACCCCCCUAUUUUGUUGUGGGGUGUAAGCACAUGAAUGAUGGUAAUUGAUCCCCUUAGUAUCCAAAUACUGUUUCAUAGAGGAAAUUUCAGUCCCAUUAUCGGUUCGAAGAGUUUUAAUGCAACGAUUAAAUUGGGUUUCCACCCAAGAAAUGAAAGAUUGCAAUAUCCUUUGUGUUUCAGAUUUAAAACUCAUGAGAUGUAUCCAAGUAUAUCGAGUAUGAUCAUCAACAAUUGUUAGGAAAUAACGAGCCCUAGAGUGAGAAUUUAUUCGAUGUGGUCCCCAAAUAUCACAAUGUAUCAAAUCAAAAGGUGCGUGAGAAGAAAUGAAACUAGAUGGAAAUGACAAACGAGUUUGUUUGGCUAAAGGGCAAAUAUCACAAACAUGCUUGGAAUCAAAAUAAAUUUCAGGAUUAAGUUUAGCAAGAACUUGAAGAGGACCGGAUGAUGGGUGCCCAAGAUGUUGAUGCCAAAGAUCAAAAUGUUUGUCAAUGGCGUAAGCCAAGGCUGGAUUUUGGUCUUGUGCGAGAUAGUAGAGGCCAUUAUGUUGCUUGCCCAGGCCAAUCGUCUUCCUCAUAGUAGCGUCCUGCACAACACAAAAAUCGGAAAAGAACAUCACUAUACAUUGUAAUGCCCACGUUAGUUUACUAACUGAUAGUAAAUUAACUUGAAAUUGUGGAAAUUUGAGCACGUCAUCAAGUUUAAUGUGGGGGGUAACAUGCAAUGAACCAAUUGACUCAAUAUGUGCUUGACCAGCAUCUAGCAAACUAAUGGUAGUGGUUUUGGGCAAAAUUUUCGGAUCUAAUAAUUCAGCUGAGGAAGUCACAUGAUCCGUGGCUCCACUAUCAAUAAUCCAACACAUAUUUGAGUGUGGGCAAUUCGGAAUAAUUUUGGAUGAUGGCAUAUUUAUACCUGUGGCAUUUGCAAAAUGUUGUGAAUUACCACCAUUGUUUUUUCGAAUCAUAGCCAUCAAUUGGUUAUAUUCCUCAGUUGUGAGCCUUGGUCCAUCAUUUUUUGGAAGAAGUUUUGCUUCUAUCUCCACAGCCUUAUUUGUUUCCACUUUCACAUUGUUUGCAUUUGAGUGACGUUGAUUGGGAGGCUUCAUGUUCUUCCCAUGAAGCUUGUGGCCAAUCGGAAAGCCAUGUAGGUAGUAACACUUCUCAAUGCUGUGAUAAUCACGGUCACAAUAAGAGCAGUGCAGUGGAGUCUUUUGUUUUUGAACUUGGUGUGCUGAAGUCGCCUUAUUGUCCCGAUCUGCAAGCAUGGCAUAAUGGUUCUUGUUCCCAUUAUUGAGAGAAACUUCAACCUGUUUUUCUUGUUGAAGGACAAGUGAGUAAACUCGGCGUGUAUCGGGUAGAGGUUGCAUCAAUAAGAUUUGUCCACGAAUGGCAGCAUAACUAUCAUUCAAUCCCAUGAGAAAUUGCAUAACUCUCUCUUUUUCAUCCCUUUCCUUAAGUUUCUCUAAUCCUCCACAAGAGCAGGAUAACACUUCAUGAUAGGAUGAAAGUUCAUCCUAAAAAGCUUUAAGCUUUGUGUAAUAAACCGAAAUUGAUUGCUGCCCCUGCCUAUGUUCCACAAUAUCUCGCUUGAUCUGAUAAAUUCUUGAAUCGUUUCCUUGCGAAAAACGUUCUCGCAGAUCUGCCCAGAUUUCUGAUGCUGUUUCGGCAUAAAUCACACUACUGGCUAUGUCUGGAUGAAUGGAAUUCAAUAACCAUGAGAUCACCAUAUUAUUGCAAUGUUGCCAAGAAGGAAAACUAUCAUCAGUCGAAGAGGGUGGCUUAAUGGAACCUGUGACGAAUCCAAUUUUGUCUUUAGCACUCAAACUAAUCCUCAUAGCCCGACUCCAUGUGUUGUAGUUAUCUCCUUCAAGUACUUUGGAGACAAGUACCAUACCCGGGUGGUCCAAGUGGUGUAGAGAGAAGCGAUCUAAAGCUUCUGUGGUAGCCUUAGAUGAUGUCAAUCCCGUUUUGUUGAUGUCCAUGGCAGCUAUAACAAGGAAAUAAGUUGCGGAAGCGCUUGGAAGAAUUUAGAGUCACCAGGUUUGGUGCUCUGAUACCAUGUAAGAAAACAGAGCAGAACAGAGUGUUUUUGGAAUCUGGAAAUCUGGUGUGUAUUCCAUUAAUCAACUUAAGGGAAGAAGAUGCAUAUAUACAAAGUAUUGGUUAGCCUAUUCUAGGAAUCUAUGUGCAAACGUAUCAGUUACAAUCAAUAAAAAAUAAUCUUCUAUAUACAAUCAAAUAUCAUCCUCAAAUUACUGGAUCCUUGAUUCCUUUCCCAUAAUAGAAAAGAAAAAAAAAAUUAAAUUUAAAAUAAAUAAAUUAUUAUUAUAUAUUACUUCAAACUUUUUUCAUAAAUUUAACUCUUCUAUUCUUAAUAAUUUUAAUGAUUUUUAACUUUCUUUUGCAUUUUAUAGUAAAAUCAAAUAUGAGAAAAUAAUUUUAUUUAACAUUUUUUUUUUCUUUUUCUACUGUUUUGAAAAACCAAACAUAACCUUAAAAUUUAAAUUUAUUUCUCAAAAUUGAUAAUUAUUAUUUUAGUUAUUAAUUUAAUAUUUUUAUCUAUUCUAAUCCUCUAAUUUUAAUUGUUCAAAAUCUAUUUCUUAAUUUAUGUUUCUUAAUUUAUGGACCCAUACAAUAUUAUUUUAUUUAUCAAAAACUCGUCUUGUCAACAUAAGCUUAAAUAACUUUUUUUUUCUAUAAUAAAAACAUAUUAUUUCAGAAUGAUGUUUUAUGUGUUAUUACUUUAAAUAAAAUUUCUACUACUAACCACGUAAUAAGCAAAUAAUUAGGGUUAAUUAAAAAUAAUUUUAUUUAUUAAAUAUAUAAAAAUUUAUAUUUACUAAUCAAGUAUAAGAUCAUAAAAAUGAAAUAAUUAAAAUUUUUAAAAUGUCAAACACUUUGUAGUAUUAAAAAUUUUCAAAUAUUAUAAUGGUUAAAAACGGUUUCUAAAAUGACCAUAAAAUGGAAUCUAAAUCUAUUUUAUGAAAGUCCUACAAUAUAAACAAAAUAUAUAAAAGAAAAAUAAUACAAAACAAAAUUUUUAUUAAAAUUAAUAAAUUAUGUGAUACAAUCUUUGUAAUAAUAUUUUUUUGUAAAAGAAUAUAUUUCUCUAAUUCUUUUAACUUGAUCAUAACUUGAAAGAUGACAAUGAAAAUGUUUCUUUGAUCUGAGAGAACAAUCAAUGAUCAUUAAUAACUUGAUUUGGAAUGAACUCGUUUAAAAGCAAAGAUCGCAUAUGAAAUACUUAUGUCAUCUCUUUAACUUGCAAGGAGAUUUCAUUAAGGAAAUUUGUUAAUAAAAAAAUAUUUAUUUAUUUUCAUUAAAAUACUUGUUCAAUUUUAAUAUAGUAUUUUCCCAUAUAUUACCUUUUUAAUACAUGUGACGUUUCAAAAUAGUACUUAUUAUUAAUCCCAAAUUUUAUCCAAAGCCACGUUUUUUUUUAACAUCUUUUUAAUAAUAAUUUAUUUCACCGAAAAUUUGGAUCUAUGACAACUUUCUUCCUUCAAAUUAGAUUCCUUUCUCCUCGGGAUCUGAAUACACGAUGGGACGUGUCUUUUAAAUAGUACAACCAGGAACGUGUCGACUGAAAUUGUAUGCUUGGAUCAGUGAGUUUCUUUUCUCACUGGAAAGUAGAAGGAGGACAACCUUGGCGUCACUCAUGACGUCCAAAGAAACACCACUCCAACUAUAUCUGCGUUCAUACAAGGUACCUUUUUCAACGCAUGGAAAUUGUGCCCUUCCUAUAAUAAAUUGGAGAAUCAAGCUGUCUCCAUAGCUUCUCUUUCUCUCUCGGCAACCAUGCAAACCCAGUCUUGGAUGAUGAUCCUGGCUGCAGUAUGCGCAGCUCUGGUUCACUUCUGUUCAUCAGCAGUGGAGUCCCACUCUGCCCAGGCUGAUCAAAUCAGUAGUUUGCCGGGACAACCCCGAGUCAGCUUUCAACAAUUUUCGGGAUACAUAACCAUAGAUGAAAAGCAGGACAGAUCUUUCUUUUACUACUUUGUUGAAGCGGAAAAUGACACAACUACUUUGAAGCCUCUGGUUGUCUGGUUCAGUGGAGGUAAAAUUUAUGCUUUAAAUUAACUGUAGCUGCUAAAGUUAGAAUCAUUUCUGAGUUUUUAACAGAUCUAGCAUUAAUUUUAUCUUUUUCCUUAUAUAGGACCUGGUUGCUCCUCCGUGGGAGGUGGAGCUUUCGCCCAACAUGGCCCUUUUAGACCCAGUGGAGAUAUCCUACUCACCAAUAAAUACAGUUGGAACAGAGGCACGCCACAAAAUACUUUUCUCUCCUUUUUUAUUUUGUAGGAGGGUGCUACUUGGCUGUAGUCAUGGAAAGGAAAAUGACCCCAAAAGGGGCCGUAGUCAAGUAAUGAACUUCAUAUUUUUUUAUUUCUUUAUGUUACAGAAGCAAACAUGUUAUAUCCGGAGUCACCUGCUGGAACUGGAUUCUCUUAUUCUGCUAAUACGUCCUUCUACACCAACCUAAAUGAUGAGAUUACAGGUUUUUUUUUCCUUUUAAAAUUUCAUCAAGAAUUUAACUAGCGGUUACUGAGAAUUGGUUUCAAUCUGAUACAUUUUUCUAACUGAUUAAGGGUCUGCUUUUCUUUAUUAGCACGAGACAAUCUCGUCUUCUUGAAGAAUUGGUUCAUCAAAUUCCCACAAUACAAGAACAGCGAAUUGUUCAUAGCUGGAGAGAGUUAUGCUGGUAUGCUGUAACAUAAUAAAGAAUAUUCACAAGUCUCUUCCCCACGUUAACCAAAAUUUUGUCCUUUGAUUUCAAGCGCUCUGAUCAAACAUGAUUUUUUUUUUUUUGCUUCAAUCCUCUGAUUGAUUUAUUCUUUUUUCAGGUCACUUUGUUCCACAACUUGCCCAACUCAUUCUUGAGUCCCGCGUGAAGUUCAAUUUGAAAGGAAUCCUUGUGAGUUGAGGCAGAGAAAAAUCCGGAUUAGUUUUUCUUCUAGGAUUGGACUGAAAUUAAUGUUAGGACUUAAUUUUAAUAUUGCAGAUGGGAGAUCCUCUUAUGGAUUUCGAUACUAAUUACAACUCAGUCCCACAUUUCUACUGGUCCCAUGGCUUGAUAUCAGAUUCUACUUACAAUCUUUUCUCUUCCAAGUGCAAUUAUUCUCGAAUGAACAGAGAGCAGACAUCUGGUUCUUUAUCACCUGCUUGUUUAGCUGUACGAAGCCAAUAUUCACAAGAAGUUGGUGACUCUGUUGACCGGUUUGAUGUCACUCUUAACUCCUGCUUACCAUCUGUUGAUCCACAACCGGUGAGGUUAACAUUAUCUCAAUAGUGCUCCACCAUUAAAAUACACUGCAAUUAAUUUCAUCACCAUGAUAAUUUACUUUUUUUAGUAGGAAUUUGCACAAUUUUGCUUUAGUUUGUACAUGACUUUGCUUUCGGCCUAUGCAGCAAGUCACAGAGAAUGUGGAUGUUUGUAUAGGAGACGAAGUAAACAAGUAUUUGAAUAGGGAAGAUGUGCAGAAGUCUCUCCAUGCUAGACUAGUUGGAGUCGCCAACUGGAGUAUGUGCAGCGGGUAAAAUUCAAUCUGGACCUCUACUACAUAACCAACUUUUUUUCUAGCAUCCAUAUUUGCUUUUUCUUUUUCUCUUACCUUUUGCUUUUUAAAAUUGCGAUUUCAUGGAUAUAAAUUGUUUUUUUUUUAAUCUCCAUGUUACAGUGCU